rnacentral:lncRNA from 1 species
AACUUUUGAUUUUAAAAAAUUUGAAGGCCUUGUUUACACCAAUAAAGAGAGAGAUAGAAAAAUUACAAACAAUGAAGACUAAGUUGCAAUACUCACACAAUAAGUCCAAGCAAGAUCAUUCACUAAAAGCUAACUUCACAUUCUCAUAUACCAUUAGAAGCACGAUCUCUCAGUAUUAGAAUAUGAGAAGUCUUGCUUCAAAAUGCUCUGGGCAAGUGGCUAUGGAAGGUACAAUAGAAAUUGCAACAAUAAAAUCUUAAUUCUAAUAUAAUAAUAACUAAACUUUAAUUAGACCAUAACAAUACUAAGCAAGCUUUAAUCAAAUUUAAAGAAACCUCAAAGGAAUUACAAAGAAAUAAUAAAAAAUCUUAAAAAAAUAUAAGAAUGAUGACAAAUAUAUUUCAAAUACAUCUCAAUUCAAUCUUAAUUUAAUCUUAGUUAAAAUCCUAUUUGACUUCAUUCAAACUUUAGGCAAAAAAAUAACUAAAUCUUAAAUCCUAAAAAAAUCCUAAUCAAAUCCUAAACUCUACAUUAAAUCCUAAACAAACCCUAAAUUCUAAUCUUAAAUCAAAUCCUAAGCAAAUCUUAAAUCUUAAAUUAAAUUCUAAUCAAAUCCUAAACCUUAAACCAAACCUUAAUCAAAUCCUAACCAAAUCCUAAAUUCUAAAUCAAAUCUUAAUCCUAAAUCAAAUCCUAACCAAAUCCUAACCAAAUCUUAAAUCCUAAACCAAAUCCUAAUUCUAAAUCAAAUCUUAAUCAAAACCUUAACUAAAUCCUAACCAAAUCCUAAAUCCUAAAUCAAAUCCUAAUCUUAAAUCAAAUCCUAACCAAAUCUUAAAUCCUAAAUCCUAAAUCAAAUCCUAAUUCUAAAUCAAACCCUAGUAAUUCCUACAAAAAAUUUAAACCUCAAUUAUUAAUAAUUGAAUUGUUGAUCUUAACUCAAAAUUUGUACACUUCUUAACAAUUAAGUUGACAACAAGCUCAAAAAAUUUUCAAAGGAUUAGAAUCACUAAAUAGAUGAUAGCCUCAAAAACGUGCUCGAGUAUUAGUUGGCUUCUCUCUCCAACCUUGAUGCCAAUCUGUUAGAGCCAAUAUCUCUUCUUUUGACUAUUUGAUUGAUUUCAAAUUUCUCAUAUAUAUAGAAAAACAAGUCUAAUAUCUUUACGCAUAAAUUUCACUUCAAUCCAAUAAAUAGAUUGUAAGUAAUCUUAAAAACUCUCACUAGACCUAAAAUUCUACUUUUUGAGAUCUUGACCCACUUAAAUCUCAAUAACCCUCAAUUCAACUAUUCAAUCGAGUUAAAAUUCAAAAUACAUAUUAAGUACAAUUAUGACCAUUAAUCUACAAAAUUUCAUCUAUAGACCUAUUAUAAAGCUCUCAAAGUUAUCUAAAACAUCAAUCCUAUUUUAUUUCACAAAAAUCCAAGUCAUCCAAAAUAAACUUAACUUUGUAAAGCCCUUAGAAAGUCAUUACAAAUCCAAAUCAUACAAAACUAAUGCUUAUGGAAACCCAUUUAGUCUGCUAUCAAAUUCCACUCUUCAAUCUACAAAAGAACCUCCGAGUUGCUCUAGGUGCUUAGUUUUGUGCAUCGAGGUCUGAUUUCAACCUAUGUUAAUAACUCACCCUCCUUGGGUAUCGAAUUUUGUCUUUUUGAGUCAAUUUUUGUUAAAAUCAACUCCUAACUUCUUCCUAUAAAUUCUCAUAUCGUUUAUUUUUCUAAUCUAUUUUAUUUUUCUUUAUUUAUGGUCCAACAAAGUAAGUAGAAGUCACUUUUUUAAAAAGGCAACAUUAUUUCUAAAAGUUUUACUACCUUUCUAACUUUUAUCCAUAUUUUUUUCUACUUUAUAUUUUAAUCUGGCUCUUUUAUGAUAAAAUCCAUAUUAUCUUCUUUUACCAUAUAGUCGUGUUACAACACAACACCGGCAAAUGCACCAUUUAUGUGAGUAUAAAUUUUACUCUUCAAUCCCAAUUACAAGAUGGCCUCAAUCAACAGUUGCUUGUAAUUGGUGGUAUGAAGUGAAGUAAGCAAUUAAAAAAAAUUAAGUGGAACAAUCACAAUAUAAGCGAAAGAAAUAAAAUGAAGUAAUCACAACAUUCAAAACUAAGUCGCACUUUGUUCACUAGAUUUUUACCUAAAAGAAAAGUAAAAGUAAAAAAUAAAAAUUAUAUUUUUAAAUAGAUAUGUAUUUUUUUAUCUUUCCUAUGACAUAAAAAUUAUGUAAUUCCAAGUUACUAUGAAUAAGUUAUGAUAGAUUAAAGAUAAAAUAUAAAUAAUAGAAAAAUUAAGUGAAUAAUUUUUACCUCAAGGGUAACUUGCUUAAGAAAUUAAGAGUUCGAGCCUCACCAAGGCUCACAAGUAGUGUGUAUUGGUUGUCCAAAGAGGCCUUGAGGCCUUAGUCUUAUCUUCCUACCUAUACCCAAGGUGCUACAACCCUCAUAGGAAUUGUGCACCUCUCUUCCUAUAAGGACUAUACUAGCUGCUGGUCCUCCUAUUUUCUACUAGUAAAACUACUCUUUUUGCAUUUUUGACUUCACCAUGGUGUUCAUAAACAUCCAAUUGGCCUAAAAAUCUUGUAUAGUCUUCAAAUCUUACUUAAUUUCUUCAUAGUGGCUCUCAAGGUGGUAAAAUUUAAUUUUACCAAGGUCUUGAAAUCUUCUUUAAGAAUUCAUAAAAAAUCCUAAAUAAAUUCUAAAAAAUCCUAUAAUAUUUCUAUAAUACUAAUAUCCAUAUAAGGCUGUAUUUUUAUAUCUUGGUGAUUUUUUAUAGUAAUAAAAUCAAUUUAAAUCCACUAAAAAACUUGUUUUCUACAUACAUAACUUAAAAGACGUGAAGUUCUUUUUCAUGCUUCUUUUAACUAUCAACUAAUCAUUGAUAGGAUUUUUGUAAGUAAUACAUGUAGAUAUGAGGCUAAUAUAGAAAUUGGUCUCAAUUACUAAUCAUUAAUAUUCAAUAAUGAGUGAAAAUACUAAACCAACUAAGAUAAUUGCUUCCAAGACUUACCAAGACUUCAUUUUUGUAACUUUUCUUCUAAUAAGACUUUUAUACUUAUAAAUACUUCUAAAUUCUAAUAAAUAUGUAAAUAGUCAAAAAGACUCUUUAACCUUAGUAUUUAUCUUAUUAAAUGACUCAAUACUAUAUUUUUAACCAAUCCACCUAUUAAGAUCCAUUGGUGGAACUCUUAAAUGACUAUAAUUUAAAUGGAAUAUAUCUGAAAAAGAAAUAAUUAAAAUAUUCAUGAAUAAUAUUUUAAAAAUAAAAAACCAAGCUUUAUUUAUAAUACAAUUAUAUAAGGAUAUUAAAUUUUAAUUAUUAAAUUAUAAUAAAUUUAAUUUUGAGAAAAAUAAGAUCACAAGAAAAAUAAAUAAAUAUACAUAAUUAGACUAAAAAAAUUAUAUUGGCUUACAUGUUGAUCUCUAAAAUUUUAAAUUUUAAAUUAGAUUAAAAUAUUAAUAAUAUAUUUUAUUUAUUUUCUAAUGUCUCAAUUUUUUAUAUUUAAAGAGCAAAGAUAAGAUUUAAGUUGAUAAAAAUAGGAUACUAUUGUACACAUUAAGUUUUUUAGGUAGUUUAAGAAAAAAAUCAAUAAUUAAAAUUUAGAGAUUUAAAAAUAAAAAAAAUAAGACAUUAAAAAAAUUUAAUAAUUUUUUUUAAAAAUGUUUUUUUUUUUUUUUUUUUUUUUUUUUUUUUUUAUCAAUCUAUAAUAUAAAGAUAAAUGAUUCUAAUUGUCAAAAAGAUUGAUAAAGAACUCAUUAAUUAAUAUUGGCCUAUAAUCUUUCUUAAUUUUCUUUGUGAUAUUUUUUUCUAAAUAUUUCAAAUAAAAUAAAUAUUAUUUUAUUAAUCUUAUGUCAAAAAUAUGCAUAUUUAUUCCAAUAAUUUCCUAAAUAAUAUGUAUAGUCAAAAGUAGUUUAAAGUGUAUAAAUUUGAUAAUAUCUUAUAUAAAAGGUUCAUAGAAGUAUUAUAGAAGCAACUAUGUUUUCAUACGUGUCCAUAAGUGCUUUAUUGGUUCAAAACUUUAUCAACAAGUUAGUCAUGUAUCGUAUAUAUUGGCCACUUGUAAUACAAGUUGGACAUGUGGUGCACAUAUAAAGAGCUUGUCUUAGAAGUUGAAUAUAUGUUUGAGGUCUUGUAAAACAUCGCCACAUAGUUCUUAAUUAGAUAGUAUAUGUAGAUUGUUAGCAAAAUCAAUGCACCUUAAUUGUGUUUAGUAGUUUGGUAGAAUAAAUUCACUCACAUAAGGUUAAAUGUCUCUUCUUUCUUAACCAUUUUUUACCUAUGGUUUUUUUCUAUCAAUUAUUUAUUUAUAUAUAUUUUUAAUAUUUUUAAUUUAUCAUUAUUAUUAUUAAUUUAAUUAUUUAAUUAUUUUAUAUUUUUUAAUUUUAUUUAAUUAUUUAUUAUAUAUUAUUUUAAUUAAUUAAUUAAUUAUUUAAACUAUUGAGCAAUUAACUUAUAAACAUUUUUAUAUGCAUCACAUUCUUUAGCAAUGAAAUGAUCAUAUUAAAACAUUGAUUACAACACCACAACCGCUUAUUAUCACAACAAAAAAUUUGCUUGAGAACUCUUCUAAAAUUAUUUUUUAAUAAUCACCAGAAAUCAAAUAUAAUCUUGUAACAACACAACAAAUCAUAGUUGAUCUAUCAUGGUCAUGAAUUCCCAAGCCAUGUCCUGCUUUCAUCAUUACCAUAUAUAACAGGAUAUAGAUAAGAUAUUUGUAUUAUUGAUACAUAGUGAUAGAUAGUUGAAAUCAUUUUGAAAAAUUAUGGAAGUUUUUAGAUUUGAGGUUAAGUUAGUAGAAUAUAUAAGAUCCACCAUAGAACCUUUUAAAAGAAUUUAGGACAAUUAUCCAAGUGGGAUCCAUCAUCUAGGAAUAUAAUAGAAAAUUCAAGGUAGUACAAUAAAGUAUAAAUAAGACUAACCAAGGCCUUUUGGGCAUCUUAUCAAGUAUGGCCUCAGAUCUUUUUUCUUAAUAAAAUUUGAUUUUGCAUCUUCUUGUUCAGUUCUAUUCUAUUCUAUUUUCAUUUACUGAGUUUUAUCUUUUGUGUCUUAUUUUGUUUAGUUGUGUUUAAUUUUGUUCUACUUCAUUUUGUCCUACUUUGAGAUGAGAUUUUAUGUUGUUGUGGAUUAAAAGAGUCUUAGAUUCUUGAGAUAGACCAGUCUUAUUUCAUUGAUAUCAGAACAAAUGUUACAUUGUUCUUUGGUAAUGUAUCAAUAGUCAUCAUCUAUUUCGAGGUCAAUUAUAGUAGUUACACUGGAUACUAUAUUGAGGCUACUUUGAGCUACUCUUAAAAAAUCAAUCAAAGUACAAAAAUACAUAUAAUAAUGGAGUUCAGUAAAGAAUUACAUCAUGGGAGAUAUAGCAGAGCAAUUUUAGAUGGAGGCUCAAAUACAACACCUCUUAGGCUAGGUAGUUACUUUACAAGGAUAAAUAGAAGCCUCUAGGAUAAGGGAGUCAACAUCUGUUAGGAUAAAAUUGAGUAAGCCUAGUACAUACUCUGAGAUUUUAAGGCAAGAAGAUAUAUGUCAAUGACUAAUCAACAUGCAAUAAUAUUUGCAACUAUUUGGGAUAAAUACUAUUGAAGGAAUUAUAUAUGCAGUCAGCAAUUUGAGAGAUGCAAUAGCUAUUUGGUAGCAACAUUGAGUUCAAAGCUAUAGAACUUAGGGUGGAUUUUAUGAUUGGAAGGAGUUUGAAACCAAGUUUAAGACUCAAUUUUGGACCAUCAAUGUACAGAAGAUAACACACAAUCAAUUAACAUGUCUUAUAUAAUCUAGGUUGGUACAAGAUUAUGUCUCCGGAUUUAAAUUCCUAUGUAUCUAAAUUGAUAAUAUUUUAGAGGUGGAGAUGAUGGAUCAAUUUCUAUGAAGUUUGAAACUUGGAAUCUAGUAAGAUAUUGAAGUAAGAGAUCUAUAAAUAUUUGAAGAAAUAAUUAAAAUGGUAGAGAUGGUCAUUGCUAUAAAUUUUAGAAAUUAUGGAGCAUGACCUAUAAUAUAAAGUCUUAUGCUACUAUCUAAUACUAUGGCACAAGAACCAAUACUAAUGGAGAUUAAUACCUUAGAAGAAUCAUUGAUACCACAAAGAUAACAAAUAUUGGUACAAAAAGAAUUAUAUUUCUAUUGUUGAGAGCCAGGCCAUUAGAUUGGAAGUUGUCCAAAACGUCAAAAUUUAAUCACCAACAAAAUAAGGUAGAUUCACAGUCUUGAGACUCACCAAGUUAAUAAUGAAGUAGGAUAGGGAAACAAGCUUCUCUAGUAAAGGUGCCAAAGAUUAGUACUAGGAAUAGCUACUAUCUCUUAGAGAUAAAUGACAUAGUCUUAGACAACUAUAAAAAGAGUCAAUUGAUGCAUUUAAUGGGACUACUAAGAAGACAUCCAUGUCAAGUGCUUAUGGAUUGUGGCUCUACAAAAAAUUACAUCUCAGAUGAAAUUAUUGAUUGAUUUAGGAUUAAAACUAAGGUAAUCAAAGGAGAGAGUAUAUAUCUUACAAAUGAUUGAGAGAAUAUACUGAGUGAGACAUGUGAUUAAAUAACCUUGAGGUUGAUUGAUACUUAUGUCUUAAGAGAGAAGUUCAAGGUAAUAAAUCUAAGAUAUGAUAUUAUCAUUAAUAUGCCAUGGCUAGAGGUAAAAAAUAAACAAGUUGAUUAGGUAGCAAAGACAAUCUCUUUCAAAGAUGGUAGAUGUAUAGUGAUUCUUCAUACCUUUACAUUGAAUGAAGAGAAAAAAUAAUCUGCAACUAAAGACUUACUCGUAGUAAUAAGCUUUAUGAAGAAACAAAUAUAGUAUAUGAAAUCAGUAUGUAUGGUGGUUUCAAAUCUUCUAUUAGUAGUGGGAAAGAUAUCCAAAAGAGUAAAACGAGCAAAUCAAUUCAUACAAGAAUAUCAAGAUGUCUUUCUAAUCGAUCUACAUAAUGACAUGCUUCUUGAUUGACGUGCCUACUUUUAAAUAGAACUAUUAUUUGGAGCCAAAGUAGUAAGUUAGUCAAUUUAUCGCUUAGCACCAAAUGAAUUUAAAGAAAUGUAAAAGAUAUUGGACGAACUUUUGGAGAAGGGCUUCAUUUGAGAAAGUACAUCAACAUAGGAAGCACAUGUAUUCUUUGUUCUUAAGAAAGAUGGUGGAUUUUGGUUAUGCAUCAAUUAUUGAGGGCUCAAUAAGCAAACUCUUAAGAAUGCAUAUCUACUUUUAUGUAUAGAUGUUCUUUUUGAUCAACUUUAAGCUGCAACCAUCUUUAAUAAAAGAUGGAUAAUAUGUAGUAUUAAAAUUAUAAUCUUUGUGAUAGUUUAUUCUAUUUUAAAAAGUAAAUUUAUAUAUUUAAUAAUGCUAUACUUUGGAUGCAUAUACUUCAAAAGAAAUAUGAUAUCCUAAUAUCUCGACAUUUAAGGCAAGAAAAGACUCUAGAACGGAUCUCAAGGACAUGAUUUUGAAUAGAUUUAGAUUGUAAUAUUCAAGCUUUUAUUUACUCAUGCGAGUCACAUCAAUAUAAUAAUACACGCAAUGCAACAUCUCUUGAACUAUUAUAGCCAAUUCUACUACCUAUGGCACAUUGAGAGCAAGUGAUUAUGGAUCUCAUUGUAUAUUUAUCAUAAACACCUCAUAAUCAUAUCUUAGUUGUCGUCUUUGUGAAUUGACUCUUGAAAUAACUUUACUUAGCUGUGGUGUGCUCGACUAUUGAUGUUUUAAUACUUACAUGGAUCUUUUUUGAUAUUGUCUUUGAUCAUUAUAGAUUACAUCAUGUCAUUAUUUCAGAUGGAUAUCCAUACUUCAUAAGAAGUUUUUCGUAAGCCUUGUUCAAGCUACUAGCUACACAACUUGCUAUAUCUACGUCUUUCAUUUCCAAACAGUUGGACAAAUAGAGCAUGUAAAUUGGACCUUGAAAGAUAUACUACAUGUAUUUGUGAUAAUUCAUCAUAAUAAUUAGAAUGAAUAUUUGACACCCUUCGAAUUUACUUACAAUGAUAGUAUUCAAACAAGUACCAAUCAUUCACCAUUUUUUCUUAAUAUUGGUUAGUAUUUGAUUAUGUCACCAAUCCUUCAUUAUCCCAUUGAUACCAAUAAUAUGAGAAUGGAGGAGUUUAUACAACAAUUUACAAUGACCUUACAAGAAACACAAUACCUCUUGUUUAUGGUACAAAAUUGACAAAAUCAAUAUCUGGAUAACAAUCAAUAAUACAAGAUCUUCCAAAAAGGCCAUUAGGUGUUACUUUCUAAUGCCAACUUGCCUCUUGCUACAUCAAUCAAAAUCCAUAAAUUGACACCUCAGUGGCUUGGACUUUUUUGCAUUUCUAUAAUGAUUUUUGAUGUUACAUAUUGCCUCAGCUUCCACCAUAUAUUUCGAUCCAUCUAGUCUUUCAUGUUUUGCAAUUGAAAGAAUUUCAUAUUGAGCCAAAGCACUUUUUAAAUUGACACCAAUUACCACCAAUACUAGUUGUAAUUGAUGACCAACAAGAAUAUGAAGUGAAUAGCAUUUUGGAGCAUCGCUACCUUCACCAUGGUAGUGGACGUUCACAACUUUAGUACAAAGUGCAUGAUUUUGUAUAAAAUAUUCAAUAAGAUUUGGUUAAUCCUCUCUAUUUGUCUAUUAGUCUAAGGAUGAUAAGGCAUGAUCUUCUUAUGAUCAAUUUGAAAUCUAUUUGUCAUGUUCUAAAUAACCUUGUUGAAAAAAUAUAUUCCUUGUUUACUAACUAAGAUUAUUGGGCAACCGAAAUAAGUAAUGAUAUUCUUGAACAAAAAAAUAGUUACAUUCUUUGUAUUGUUUGUCUUAGCCAUCUUCGUCUCCACUCAUUUUGAGAGAUAUUUGGUGGUUAUAAUGAUAUACACCAUUUUUUAUAAAGAAUGAGGGUGUAUCUCUCUUAUGUAAUCAAUGCCUCAUUUUUUUGAAAGAUACUAGCAAUAAGAAAAUAUGGAGCGGCAAUUCCAUACAAAAAUCAUUUUGUAUAUGGUGCUAACAUGCAUCACACUUCUUCACAUAGUUAUGCACAUCUUGGAAGAAAGUAGGCUACUAAUAUCUAAUUCUUAAAACCUUUUGAUAAGUGAAUUGACUCAAGAAAUGGCCACUACAUGCGUUAUUAUAACAUGCUGCCAAAAUUAAAGGAAUUUCCUUGCUUACGACAUAUUUAUGUAAUAUCCCAUCAAUUCCUCUCCUAUCCAACUUAUUUUCUAUCACUAAAAAAUAUCUACUAUUCACCUUAAUCUUUAUUUUUUCCUCUUUGGAUAACUCCAUUGAUAGUUGCUAGUUGGUGAAGAAUUUGAUGAUCCUUAAAUAUCAUGCAGGUUGUAUUGUCACCAAGAAAAGAUUCUCAUCUACUAAGCUAUCAUUAAUGAGUGUUGCUUUGAGGCCCUCUAAUAAGCAAGAUAGAUGGUCUACUUGUUUAUGGAUAAAUUUAGAUUUAAACUCCACUUUAUAAUUAAAUUUUUGAAGCAAUAGCGUCCAUUCAACUAAUCGGCUCCUCAAUUCUCAUUUAUUAACCAAAUCUAUUUGAUUGCUAUGUGAUUCUAAAAAAAUACUACUAUAUUAUUCAAAAGGUAAUGAUGAAUAUUUUUUUAUUAAAAAAAUUAUUAUCAAACUCUCUUGCUUGGUUGUAAAAUAGUUUAUCUUAAUCACAUUAAGCUGAUUGCUUACACAAGCAAUAAAAUAUAUGUAUAUAUAUAUAUAUAUAUAUAUAUAUAUAUAUAUAUAUAUUUUUCUUCUAUUUAAAAUAUUGAUACAAUAUAUUUUCAAGUGCUACUGUACUCGCAUCACAAUAUACAUAGAAGGAUAGAUUGCACUUUGACGGUUAUAAGACCAAAUACAAACAUAGUUUUUUUUUUUUUUAGAAACUCGAAUGUCUCUUCACAGAUAUCAAUCCAUUCAAACUUUGUUUGCUUUCUCAAUAAGUUGGUGAUAGAAAGAGUGAUUAUAACAUAAUUUGGAAUUAAUUCUUGAUACCACCUAUCAUAGUCUUAUAUUCUUUGUACCUCUUUCAUGCUUAUUGAAGGUUUGAGGUUAUUGAUGAUCCUAAUUUUCUUUGGUUUGAACUCUCUACCACUUUUAUUCACGACAUAGCUCAAUAAUACCUUCCAAUACACUAUAAGAUAGAUUUUUUUAAAGAUUUAAGGCCAUUUCUAUCUUUUUACAUUUCUCCAAGCUCUCUUUCUUGUGAUAUAGAUGAUCUUCUUUCCUAGAUUACAUAUUGAAAUCAUCAAUAAAUACCAUCAUAGAUUUAUACAAUAAGUCAAAGAAGAUGUACAUGACUAAUUGUUGGAAGGUGACUGAUUCAUUGCAUAGACCAAAUGAUAUUAUAUACCAUAUAAAGGUCUUCCAUGGUAUUAUAAAUACCAUCUUAUGCCUAUUUUUAGAAGAAAUAAAUACUUGGUUGUAACUAGAAUAUCCAUCCAUAAACAUAUAACAUUCAUGUCUUGCUACUUCUUCUAAGAUGUUAAUAAUAAAAGAAAACAAAAAAUAUUCUUUCUAUAUGUGAGUAUUUAAUUUUUGAUAAUCAAUAUAUAUACAAAAAAUCUUAUUUUUUUUCUUUACUAGCACCAUAGGUAAUAUCUAAUUGGUGAUUUUUACAGGUUUUAUAAAGUUUAUUUGUAAUAAUUUUUCUAACUCUGCUUUUACAACCAAUUGAAGUUGUAGAUUUAUUCUUUAUUCUUUCUAUCUAAUAGGUACCAUAUUUAAUACUAAUAGAAUUUAAUGUUAAACUUUCUCUAGAGAUAUAUCCUUCAAGUUCUUAUACGUCCAUUCAAAAAUAUCUUUGUAUUCUUUCACCAAUUAAUUAUAUGCUCCUAUCUUUGCUUCACUCAAUUUACUGCCUAUCUUUAUUUUCUUAGGUUCCUCUCCUUCUACUUGAAUCGUGACAUAUUUCUAGUCUUUUUUGCCAAUAUAUGACUAUUCAAUAUUGUUUCUAUACCAAUCAAAAGAUACAAUAAGAUAGUUGGCUACAUUUUCUUCCAAUAUGAUGCUAUAUGAAGUCUUAAAGUAUAAUAAAUCUUCUAAUGGCUUAUUUUCCUCAAAUACUUCUAUGUCUUGGAAUUCUUCUAUCGCCAUUGAGUACAAGCUCUCAUCUAUUUCAAAAAUAAAGGCUAAUCUAUUUUUUGCUUUAACAUCUUCAAUGAAAUUAAUUCCCUCCUCAACUAUAAUUGAAACUAGAUAUUCUUUCAUCUAUUGUUCUUACUUUCUAUUAUCUCUCCAAUAAUAGAAAUUAAGACUUAAACAUUUUAAUUUCUUUGUCUCAAUAUUUAGAUCCAUAUUUCUUACUAACACCUCUCCCACUAGCUAAUUGUCAUUCCUUGUACUUAAUGCUUUUUUUCCCUCCUCAAAAAAUAAUUUUUGAUUGAUCUCUCUGAUUAUAAUAGAUCUAAUCAAAACUCGUAUUUGAAUUUGACUAAGUUCAUAGGUGAUCAUAGGCCUCUUUUUUCUCUAAUUUAUAAUGGCAUUGGCCAUUCCUAAUUGUGGACAACCUAAUAGUAAAGAAAAUAAAUCUUUAGCCCUAUACAUGUAAAUCACAUGGAAUAUCAAUAUGUACUCUUUUCUCCCUAUGAUAACCUUGCAAUUCUUUAUUUGUCCAAUUAAUUUUGCUGGAUUUUGGUUUGCCAUGUUAAUCACAAAAGAUGAAGGUUCUAUUAAAUCUAGAACUAACUUUUUUAUACUUUAUAUGGGCAUUAUGUUUAAACCAAUUUCUCCAUCUACCAAGACAUUGGAAAUUAUCUUAUCUAUAAUCACCACCUCUAUUUCUUUUGCCUUGACAUUGAAUGGCUUGCCAAUAGAUUGUAGUCUUACCAUAGUUCUUGCCUUCAAUCUCUUCAUCUUCUUUACAACAUGUAGCCUUUCUUUUAAAGUCUUUCAUGUAAUAUGAGAGAUCUCUAGUAACUGUACAAUUGUGAUAUUUGUAUUAAGUCUACUAAGGACUAGCCUUAAAUCGUAGGAUUUAUAAUUGAAUUUUUUCUCUUUAUGCUUGAAUAGUUUAAGCUUUUUCAAUAUAAUAUUUCGUCUUUUUUAGUUUUUUUUUAUCUAAUUCUUCUUUCUUAUCUUCUUUAUCAAUAAAAGGUAUUUUACUACCUAAUAAUUGCAAGUAGACUAAAUUACUACCUAAAGCUCUAGUAAUCUUUAUUACAUCUUAUUUAAUCUUAUUUAACUCAAAAAAAAUAAAGAGAUUCUUCAAAUAAACUAUCUUUAGAUCUUAUAAUCUCUAAUACAAGGAAUUGUGCUACUGUCUUUGAUUGAGUCAUCAUUGCUACUGCUAAAACCUUUGGAUUAAUAUACACUUAUAGCUCUUGUAUUUUGUGAAUUAUGAGAUUUAUCUCAAGAAGCCUUUGUCCUAUAAUGGCUACCAAAAAAGUAUUAGAAGAGAAGAAACUGCUGACUUGAGUUUCAUGAAAUAUAUUAGCCAUCAUAAUAUCUUACAAAUUUAAAGGCCAUGGCUUCUAAUUUGUCUCUCUUAUACUCUCACCUUGGCCUUAUCUACCAUAUAAUCUUUGAUUUAAUGGUAUAUAUCGUCAUUGAAUUUGCAAACCUAUAAGAAGCUUAAGGAUUUGCCUUAUAUUCUUAUAGUUGUAAUACAAAUUAAAUGGCCUCAACUCGUUAUAUCCUUUUCAUAGAAGGUAUUUCUAAUCUUGCAUAUUGCUUUAGACUUCUUGCUUGAGAUUUGUUACUAGUACUAGUAAAAGUAUCAUCUUAUUUGAUUAUCUAUAUUCAUUAGAGGGGUGGUUGCUUCCACAAUUACUACAACCAAAGCAUUGAUUCUUCGACCAAUAUUGUUCCAAAAUAUGCUACCUAUUAUAAUAUUAGUAGAAUUCCUUACAUUACCUAUGCAGAUCUUUAAAUCCUUGGAAUCUAUUUUAAUACCUUCUUUGCUUAUAAUUCAGAUUUUGUUCUUUUUUUUAGUUUGAAAGUAUAGAUGGUGGCAAAAAAAUUUGCUCCCAAAUACCCAAGUGAGGUUCUAUCCUACAAGAUUAUAAAGAGUGGCUAGCUUGACUACAAUUAAUAGACCAUAAAUCCAAAGUAUGCCUCUUUGAUUCUAUCUGUAGUGGAAGUGCAUUGGAACCUUGGUUCGUUAUUAUACAAGUCAUGUGCUCUGAUAAGAACUAAAAUUGCUUCAUAAUGGCUUCUUGAAAAUCCUCUUGAUUAGCUUUUAUCUUCUUUUUUAUGUAUUUUAUUUGUUCUAAUAUUAGGACAAUUAAUGCAGAUAAAAGUAUUGAUCUUUUAAUAACUAAUGGCAGUGGAGCAUGCCUUCAGUCCAUGAUAGGUAAACUAGUGUUGGAAUCAAUUUGGCUUGCAAUUGAUUCUUGUACAUGUGGUUUAAUUGAGAUGAAUUGAAGAAUAGAUUCAUCAUCUUUUUUCUAAAGGUGCUCAUACUUCUUGUCUAUGGCUUCUACUUCCCUUACCGCUUGCUUGACAUCUUCCAAAAUCAUAGAAUUUUUUUCUAGCACAUCUUUGAUAGUGGAUCUUUUGAAGAAUCUUUAUAUAAAGAAUUACUUUAAUAUAUCAUUGUUAAGCAUAUUUACUAUAUAUAUAUAAGUUUGAAUCUCCAGACAUAUGAAGAUAUGUCCUUGUCUUUUAUUUAUUUUAUUGUGACUACUACUCUCAAAGUAGUAAUCUGUCUUACUCUUAGUCAAAAAUAAUUUAAGAAAUUUUCUUAUAAUUGGGGCUACUUAACAAAAUAUCCUUUUAGAUGGUUUUAAUACUAUUUAUAUACCUCACUAUGUAAAGUGGCAAAAAACCAAACCAAAUAAUAGCCUUGAUUGAUAAUUAACAAACUUACUAACAUUUCUAUAUAUUAUUUUGUAGGCAAAGAUAGAUCUUCAUCGUUGGUACCAUUUAACUUAGGUAGAUGAGUCAGUAUUGUGUAGUAACAUAACUAUAUGGUAAAAAAUAAAAACAUAGAUAUUAUUAUAAAAGAUCCUAGUAUGAAGAUGUAGUAGAAAAAUAAGGAUAAAUGAUAGGAAGGUAAUCAAAGAUUUAGACUUAAUAUUAUCUUUUAAAGAAAGGGCUUUUAUUUGCUUUGUAGGAACAUAAAUGCUUCAAAUCAAAAUAAAUAAGAUAAAUAAUUGAUAUAGACAUGUUUAGAAGAGAGUUACUAAUAGGUUCAAGCAAAAAUUUCCUCAAAUUAUCAAAUAUUGAUACCCAAAGAGGACCAAUUGUCAACUUGAGUCGAAAUCAAACCAUGAUACACAAAACCACAUGCCUAUAGCUAUUCAAGGGUUUUAAUAGAUCAAAAAAAGAGAUUUGAGAGCAAACUUGUAAAGAGAUUUUUGACCAUUUUUUUUAUAUCAAUAAAUUUAAUAUUUAAUUUUUGAAAGAUUUUCGAAAUUAAUAAUAUUCUUAGUUGGAUUAUAAUUUAAAAAAUAAAAUUAUGUUUACAAAAUUAAAGGUUUCUUGAGUUUUGUGGUAUGUGUAUGUGUAUGGAUGAAUUUUAGGCAAUGUUUUGGUGUUCUAGUAGUUAAUCAAAUAAUUAGAUCAAAGUGUGUAAAGGUUUUUGUGGAUCAAGGUCUCAAAAACUAGAAUUCAAAGAUUAAUGAGUAUUUUUAAGAUCUUUCACAAUCUAUUAAUUGGAUUGAAGUGAAUUUUUUUUAUAUAGAAACUAGACUUAAUUUCUUAAAAUUUAAAGAUAUUUUAGAGGCAAUUUAAUAUUUUUAAAAAUAUAUAUAUUUAUACUAAAAGUUCAACAUUCAAAUUAGAAUAAAAAGCCAGCCAACAUCUAAGUGGAAUUUAGGAUUGAUCUUCUAUUGGGUAAAUUUGAUCUUCUUCAAAUUUUGUAUGAUUAUUGCCAACUUAGUUGAAAAGUGUACAAAAUCUUAAAAAAGAUCAAUGGUAUAAUUGAUAGAUAUUAAUGUUCUAAACUAUUCCAAGGUUAGAUUAAUUUAAUUAGGGUUUGAUUUAGGAUUUAGAAAUUAGUUAGGAUUUAGGGUUUAUUUAGGAUUUAGUUAGAAUUUGACUUAGGAUUGAAGUAAGAAAUUUUAGGAUUUUAAUUAAAAUUAAAGUAAGAUUUGAUUAGAAUUUAUUUAAGGUAUAAUUUGGAUUUUAUUUUAAUACUUCUUUUGAAUUUCUUUAAGAUUUCUUCAUGCUUCUUUCGUAAUUUCUUUGAGGUUUUUUUGGAUUGACUAAGCUUAAUUAAUAUUAUUAAGAUUUAAUUAGAAUUAUUUAAAAUUCUAUUAGAAUUAAAAUCUUAUUAUUAUAAUAUUCCUUCUACCUUCUACAAGCAAGUGCUCAAUGCAUUCUCUACCAAGGCUUCAUGUAAUACAACACCAAGAUAGUAGUUGUAGCCAAAUUUCGAGGUACUACAAUAGGCAAACUCUUUGACAUCAAUAGAAAGAUCUUUCUGUAGUUGGAACAUUCUUUUAAAAAUAAGUUCUUCCAUAGGUACAGUAUUAAUUAAAGUCUCUAUUGUCUCUCUAUUGCCAAUUAUUCCAAAGAUUGAAAAAUAAUCUUAUUCUCUCUUCUUUCUAAACUCUAGAAAGGAUGGUUCUUUACACUCCAUCUUAUUUCUAAUAUUUUGUGUCUAAGAUAGAAUCUAUUCCCGUUGUUGUGGUUGCUCUUUCAAAUUCUUUGCUACUUCUUUUUUCUUCUAAUGUUCUAAUGGUUUCUUUAGGAUAUUAUUUUGAUAUUAAAUGGUUUCUCAAACUUUGUUGUCAUAUUACAUGAAGUCUUGCUUGAGAACGCACUAGACACUCGAUUAUAGAAGAUAAAAGAAAUUUUCAACAAUAAGUCUUAACCUCACUAAUAGAAUCGUAUAUAAAUUACUAUAGAAGCUUAACAGAUAUAAUCAAGCAUCAUAUAGGUCUAAUGAUUAUUAUUAUUUUAUUAUAUUUUAUUUUAUCUUUUUUAUUUUAAAAAUAAAUUAUAAAAAAAUAAAAAAAAAAAUCCUAAAAAAACCUAAAGAAAUUCAAAAGAAUCCUCAAAGAAUCUAAAAAGAAUCCUAAAAAAUCCUAAAAAAAUCCUAAAGAAAUCCAAACCAAAUCCUAAACCAAAUCAAAUCCUAAUCUUAACCAAAACCUAAAUCCUAACCAAAUCCUUAUCUUUACCAAAUCCUAAUCUUAACUAAAAUCUAAAUCCUAACCAAAUACUAAUCCUAAUAAAAAACUAAUCAUUUUUUUUGAAUCUCAAAUAAAUUUCUAACAAUCUUACAAUAGAUUUUGAAAUUCAAUAACUAAUAUUUGAACCAUUGAUUUCAAUUCAAAAUUUACAUAUUCUCUACCAAUUAAAUUAAUAAUAAGUAUAAAAAAAUUGAAAAAGAUCAAAAUUACCAAAUAGAUAAUAAGCUCAAAAAUAUGCUUAGGUGUUGGCCGGCCUCCUUCUUUGAUCUUCAUGCCAAUCUCCUAGAACCAAUUAUUUCUGAUUGACUUGUCACUUUGCUUCCAAACUUUACAUACUUCUUAGAAAUCAAGCUGACUAUCUUUAUAAAGAAAAUUUGCUUCAAUCUAAUUAGUAGAUUGAUAAAUAUCUAAGAAAACCUCAUUGGUCAUCAAAAUCCUAAAUUUUGAGAUAAUAACCCAUAAAAAUCUUCAUGCUUUUUAAUCUAAUUAUUUGAUUAAAUCUAAAUUCAUAGUACACUUGUAGCACAAUUAUAUCCACAAACUGGAAAAAGUUCACUUAUAGAUCUAUUACUAAGCUCCUGAAAUUAUCAAAAAUGUCAAUCCUAUUUUACUUUCUAAAAAUCAAAGUCACUAAAAACAACAUUGACUUUGCAAAGCUCUUACGAAGUCAUUAUCUACUUAAAAUCCUCAACAUCAAUGCCUACAAAAAUUCUAUCAAGUCUAAUCUCCAAUUUCAUUCUUAGAUCAAUCAAAGAAUCUCAGAAUUGUUAUUGAGGCUUAUUUUUGUGCCUCAAGGUCUAAUUUCAAUCCUAGUUGAUAAUUGAUCUUCUUUGAGUAUCAAAUUUUAUUUCUUUUGAGGUAAAUUUUGCUAAAAAAAACUCCUAACUUUCUUCUACAUAUGCCUAUAUCUUUUAUUUUUUUGAUCUACUUUAUUUUGUCUUAUUUAUGGCCCUACAAAAUAAGUAGAAGCCACUUUUUUAAAAAGGUAGAAUUACUAUUACAAGUUUUACUACCUUCCUAUCUUUUAUCUAUAUCUUUUUUACUUUAUCUUUUAAUUUGGCUCUUCUAUAAUGAGAUCAAUACUAUUAUCUUUCACUAUAUAGUUGUAUUACAAUACAAUAUCUACCUUCUUUGAACUUGUGCAUCCUCCGGAAUUCGCUAAAUAAUCCAAUAUUGUAAGAUUCAUACUAUGUUGUUUAUGUCUUCAUCUAAGUCAUCUUCAUCAUUUUUGCUAUUUAAGUUAAGUUCAUCUUCUUAUCUUAGUAGAUUUAUGUCGUCAAUAAGGUCUUCUACAUUUAUAUAUGUCUGUCUUUGUUUGAAUAACUUCUUUUACUUCCUUGCAAUUGGUAUUUUUAAUCCUAUUCUAUCUAACUCUAGUAAUGAAUAAGUUGUAUUAUCAUGAAUAAUUGUUACCAAAAAUGGUUCAAAUCAUUGUUUAAAAUAUUUUAUUAAAAUACUAUGUUGAUUGUUCAAGCUACUAUUAUAGAUCAAUAUCUAAUCACCUUCUUCCAUUGCUUUAGAUCCUAAUUGAUGUUGAUUAUCAAAUCGUGCCUUGUUUUGUAAUUUAUUUAUUUAUUUAUUUAUUUAUUUAUUACGGUCUUUUCUUUAAUUAUUAAUUUUGAAUAGCUAUAAGUUCUAUUCUUAUCUAUUGUUUUAUAUUUUGUCUUCAUAAUGACCUUUGAUGCUUGAAAAAAAGAAAUCACGAUAAAAGUAAUUUCUUAUGAAUGAAUUUUUACAAUCUUAUCAUCAUUUUUUAAUCCAAUAGAUGUAAUUUUUUCCAAAAAUCCUCCAAUCCAAUUUCUUAAUAAAUACAAAAAACUUUAUCAUCUUUUAAUACUUCUAACUCACAUAAUUCUUUUUCAAUCAUUUUUUUUAUUUUUUAUUUUUAAAUGCUAAUAAAACUUGAAUCAAAAGCACCUAUAUCUUAUAAGAGUAACUCUCUUUUUAUACCUCCGUAGUCUUGCUUUAUAGUGAUACUUUUCUAAUUUUUUUAUUUUUUUUUAAUUUAUUUUUUAAUGCCAAUGUUUCUAUUUACUCUACAUGUAUAAGUAGUUUGAAAAUACCUUCCUUUGCACAUGAUCAAACCAAUGGUGAAGGUACAAAAUUUGAAAUGAAAAGUCUAAAUUGAAAUCUCUCCCACAUAGCCACAUAUAUCUUGCUUGUAUUUUUUUUCUUAUUUCUUUGAUUCCAAGUCCUAUUUAAGAUGUCCGUGUAAUCUUUAAAUCCAUUUUCCAUGGCUUUCUUUUUGAAGAUUAUUAGAUUUUCAACCCUUGAAUUUCAUACUUGAUGAUGAACCUUAUCUUUGUCAAAAUCCAAUUAUGUCUCCAUUAUAUGUACAUUACUUAUGUAACCUUGACCUUGGUUCAAAAGAAAAGUGCUCACAAUUAACUUAAUCAUAGCUAAUGACUUGAUACCCUUAUCUAUUGUUCCAUAAUCUUUAUUUGUCACAUAAACUUAUAUAACAUCCUUCAUAUCUUCUUGAAUGCAUCUUUGUGAAACAUCAUAACCUUUUGAUGUCUUUAAGCAUUGUAUAAUUUCAUAAUAUUUAGAAAUCUCAUGUCCUUUCAAAAUCUCAUGCUCUUGAAAAGUCUCAUAACUUUCACAAUAAUCCUUUAUGGUUUUACAACCACACUUAGUAUCGUAGCCUUGUGCAAUUUCAUAACCUUCUCUAUAAUAAUCAUAUGAAAACUCAUUUCUUUCAUCCAAGGCAUAUGUGGUCUCAUAGCCAUAUGUAAUUUGACUUUCAUCAUCAUCUCUAUGCAUAAUUCCACCAACUCUUACAUUAUAAUAUUAUGAAUUUAUAUAACCUAUAUGAUCAUAAUCUUGAAUAGCUCUUUAAUCCAUCUCUUUUGAAGGCUCAACUUUAAAUUCUUCAAUAUAAUCCAAAGUACUGUAUAAAAUAUCUUCACUUCCUUCAAAUAUAAAAAAUAUCCUUUGGUCAUCAAGAAAUGCUCCAUUCAAAUUGCUAUCACCAACAUGUACAAACUUAUUCAAUUUAGAAUAGCCAUAGCUUCCAACCGCAUUGUCAUUAGUUUCCAAAUCUUUGAUCUUCAUAUUACCUUCAAAUUUUUAGAUACCUUGGCCUUCCAAAGUAAUAGUUUGAAAAGAAUCUUUAUUCUCUCUUUCACCAACUUUGAUAUAAGAUUCAAUUUCUUUUAUUUGCAAAGAAUUGGCUUUUCCAUUGAAGUCCUCUACUUGUUCAUCGAUUUUUCUUUUUUUAAAACAAAUCCCCUGCAUUGAUAAAAAUGACAAAGAAAUUAAAGUAGAAGAUUUCUUAGGCCAUAUUACAAUUCUUUUAGCUCAUGCUUCUUAUAGCCUUCCUAAAAAAAUCACUACAUCUUUUAACUUCUCUCAAUUAUUGGUAAAACCACUCUUCAUUUUUGUAUUACAUAUUGUCUUGCUUGGGAAUGCACUAGGCCCUAGCUGAUGAAGGUGAGGUUGUGUUUCACAAAUAUCCAAAAAUCCUUAUAGAUUUCACUCAUAUGAGAAGAAUAUCAUUCAAAUUUUGAUUCAAAAGUACUAAAAAAUACUCUUCUUAGUAGCCUCAAUCACACAUAAACCUCAACUACCUUGUUACUUUUAUAUUUAAGCAAUUUAGAUUUUUCUUAUAAGCCCCAAUUCUAAUCAAUGAUCUUUCAUAAGUUGUAACAUCUAAUUUGACCGUCCACUUGAUGUAAAAUUUUGCAUGAAAUUGUCAAUAUAAGUCUUCUAUAUGCUUAAGAAUUUUUAGCCCAAUCCAACUUAUAAAUUGUGAGAAAACCUCCAAAAAUUGCACUAAUGUCACUUGGUUGCCAACUUGAAAAGUGAAGCAAAAAUCCUAGCAUUGAUUUCUCCUUCUCUAACUAUUAACUUCAAUUCAAAAUUGGUAUGCAGCUUGAUCUUCAAGUCCUUCAAUACUAUGCCAAAUUUCACCUAGAUCCAACUGGUAGAUCUCUAGAUAUCAUAGAAAUCCUACCCAACCUCAAAUUGCCAACUUUUGAAACCCUCUUGUGCUAAAAAUUAGAUAUCUCUAAACCACACUAUUAGAUUAUCACAAAAUUUUGUAUAUACUUAGUACACCUAAUAAUCCAAAUAGUAUAAAAUUUUGAACUAUAGAUGUUACACCAAUUGCACAAACUAAUAAAAAUUGCUAGUCGUAGUUAUAUUAUAUAAAUUCCAAAUUACCAAUACAAACCCUGAUUUUGAACAAUAGUUGCCCAAUCUUCAAAAAUCCUACAAAAGCAAUCCUUAUGCCUUAGAAAAGAGCCUCAAGCUAGCUUUCAAAUUCUAAUCUCCGAUCUUUGAAUGCCUCUCUAAUUUGCCCUAGGCAGUCGUUUUAAUAACUAGAAGUCUGAUUUCAAGCCUACCUCAUAAACCGUCAAUCUCCAAAUAUCAAUCUAAUCUAUCUUAAGGAUUUUUUAAUCCAAUCCUACCUUCAACUUGAUCUUAGUAUCAAUCAUACCAACCAUUUACCUCUUCUACUAUGAUUUUAAUAAUUUAUGGCCUUUUUAAGGUAGUAAAAAAGUUUUUAUAUUCUAAAAGGUAAAAAUACUAACUAACUUUUAUUUAUUUGCUAUUAAGACAAGAAAAUAGGCUAAGAAGCUUUCAUAAAAGCCUUAUUAAAAUAUUUUUAAUUCUUGCUGAAUUAAUAUAAUAGAAAAUUAAUUAAAAAAUCAUUUUUAGUCAUAUUUUCACCAUAUAAUUGUGUCACAACAAGACAUUGUAGACUUAUCUAUAAGAUCAUGAAAAGCUUGUCUCACAAGGCAUCAUCAAGACCAUUUAAAAACAACUCUUCCAUUAUAGCAUCCAAUGAUUGCUUCUUUAAGGAUGAGAGUUGAUAAAAUCUCUUCUCAAAUUCUUCUAAGAAUUCAUAAAGAUCCAUAUGCUUACUUAGUUGCAAUUCUAUCCAAUCCAAAAACUUUUGCUUGGUAAUCCUAUCCUCAUCUCCAUCAAUAAACUCUUCCUUCAAAAGUUCUUAAAAUUUUGACCAUGUCUCCAUACUUCCCCCAAGCAAUCUCUAACAACUCUAAUAGAUUCUUAAAUAAAAUAUAAUUAAAGUUUAGAAAAUAUAAUUAAACAUUAAUGAAAUUCAAUUAAAAUUUCAAAAAAUUAUACAAAAAAUACAAAGAAUUUUUAGAAAUCCUUUAAAGAAAUCAUAAAAAAAUAACAUAAAAAUUCAAAAAUAAAUAUUAAAAUAGAAAUCUUAAUUAAAUCUUAAUUAAAAUCUAAUCAAACCUUAAUCAAACCUUAAUCAAAUCUUAAUCAAAUCUUAAUCAAAUCCUUAAUAAAAUCUAGUCAAUCAUAAAUAAAUCCUAGUCAAAUCCUAGAUAAAUCCUAAUCAAAUACUAAGCAAAUCCCAAACAAAUCCUAAACAAAUCUUAAUCAAAUCUUAAUCAAAUUAUAAAUAAAUCCUAGUCAAAUCUAAGUUGAAUUCUAACUUAAAUCAAAUCUUAAUCCUAAUCAAAUCCUAAUCUUAAUCCUAAUCAAACCUUAAAUCAAAUCUAAAAUCCUAAUCCUAAUUCUAAACCAAAUCCUAAUCAAUUCCAAGUAAUUUCUAUAGCAGAUUUAAACCUCAAUAAUUAAUAAAUUAAUCAUUGAUUUUAAAUCAAAAUUUGCACACUUCUUAACAAUUACAUUGAAAACAUACAUAAUAAAAAUUGAUAAAGAUCGGAUUUAUCAAAUAGACAAUAAUCUCAAAAAUAUACUUGAAUGUUGGCUAGCCUCCUUCUCUAACCUUGAUGCUAAUCUUCUAGAGCUAAUUACUCUUGAUUGAACCAUUAUUUUGCUUUAAAACUUUACAUUCUUGUUAAAAAUAAAGCUAACUACCUUUAAGAAAAAAUUUGCCUCAAUCUAACUAGUAGAUUGACAAAUAUGCAAGAAAACCUCACUAGUCUUUAAAAUCCUAAAUUUUGAGACAAUAACCCACAAAACCUUCAUGCAUUUCAAUCUAACUAUUUGAUCAAAUCCAAAUUUAUAAUACAUAUGUAGCACAACUACAUCCACAAACUAAAAAAAUUUCACUUGUAGAUCUAUUACCAAACUCUUGAAAUUACCCAAAAUGACAACCUUAUUUUAUUUUCCAAAAAUCAAAGUCACUAAAAACUACAUUGACUUUGCUAAGUCCUUCCUAUGUCAUUAUCUAUUCAAAUCUCCUAAAAUUAGUACCUAUAGAAACCUUAUCAAGUCUCCUUUCAAAUCCCACUCUUUGAUCAAUAAAAGAAUCCCAUAAUCAUUGUUGAGGCUUGAUUUUGUAUGUCACGAUUUGAUUUUGACCUUGGUUUGUAACUUGUCUUUUCUAGGUUACAACAUGACACCAUCUUGAUCCAAUUUUAUCAAUAUUUUCUAUAAUUAAGGUUAAAUUGGGUUUCUUUGAUCUAGUUUGUAUAUUCAUUUACUCAAUUUCUAUUAGCUUCCACCUUAUUCGCCACAUACAUCAUAUCCAUCAUACAUCCUUUAUAUCUUUUUUAUGGUAUUUCCACCGAGUAAGGUAGAAAUACUUUUGGAGAUUUAUAAGCAGAUAAUUGCAAGCCCACUUAAAUUUAUAUUUUUUUUAGGAAGAAAAAUAAAUAAUAAAAAAUAAUUUCUGAUUUGGAGUAGAAUAUCACCUCUGUGCCCUUCUCAUUCUAUUGCCAUAUAAAAUAAAUUGUCAUAUCUUCAUUGAGCACCAAAAUGAAAUUUGAGGAAUCAUCCUACCAUUUUUAAGUUGACAUACAAUUAAGGCAUUAUCCACUAUAUAAGUAAUAAUAUAAAUACAAUACAAAAAAUAUUAUUUUUUAUCUGUUCAACUAAUUGGGAAGUAUAUGUAUCUAUAUGCAAUGACUAUGCAUCUUGCAUAUUAGUACCUUCGCUCACAAUUCCUAUAUAAAUUAUUAAUACUAAUUUUUCUAUUAAUUCCUUAGAUCAAUGUAAUUUAUGGUAGAAAAAGAUCCUACCUAAUUGUCCAAAUUAAGUUCUAGUCACUCACCUAUUGCCAUGCUCCUUCCACCAAGACUCCAACUAGUACUCCACUUUCGUGUCCACUUCACUUUUUGUUCUCUACCUCCUUCUUUUAACCUCAACUUUAACUUAAAAUACUUCAUCAUUAAUUCACCAAAAAAUUAAUCAUAAUAAUAAGCAAAAAAAAUCUCUAAGCAAUUGAUUUUCAAGCAAUGGCCAAAAUAAGGCUCUCAAUAAAUAUACCAUUUUAUAUCAAAAAAAUUUAUCCAUCUUAAUUGCGAUUGGUAAUCCGGUAGAAUAACUUCACUCACAUAAGAUUAAAUGUCUUUUAUUUUUUAACCAUUGUUUAUUUAUGAUUUUAUUUUAUAAAUUUUUUAUUUAUUUGUUAUAUAUAAUUUAUUUAUUUAUAAUUAUUAUUAUUUAUUUAUUUAUUAUUAUUAUUAUCAUUAUUUUUAAGUCUCCAAUACAUCCUUAUGAGAGAUUGUUAGGAAUAUUUUUAGAAGUCUUUUCUAUUCUAUUCUUGUUUAGAAAUAAUAUGCUUAAUUUUUUUACUAUUUUUAAUAUAUUUUUUUAGUUUUAAAGGUCCAAAUAACAUAUUUUUUACCAUUAAUUCCUUCUCCACUACUUUAUCAAUAAGACACCACAAUCCCUACUUAAUUUAAUUUUAAACCACAAUUGUUUCAUCUACCAUUAUAAUUAUACUUUGCUCUUUACACCUAAAUGAGUCUUUUCUUUGAUAAUUUAUCCUACUUAACUACAUCCAAACUUUUCUCCUCUUAACUCUAUUGAUUUAUUCUAAUAUUUUUUUCUAAUUGUAUUGUGAGUCAAAAAAUUUGAUUCAUAUAAAUACAAGAAUGAAGCCUUCCUCAGUCUUAUCAAUUCUUUUCUUGCCUCUAGUCUAAUUUUCUUGUCUUUUAGCAAUAGCUAUUCUAGUUUCUUCUUGAAUUUAUGCAUUUCAUUAUUUUAUUUUUCUUAUCUUUCUUUAAGAAAAAUUUUGUUUGUUUAUUUAAUUUUUUUGGUUUUUCAUCCUUGAAAUCUUCUAAGUCAAAAUUAAAUAAUUUAUUUAUCUUUCAAAUAUAUACUAGAUAAUUUAAUAUUUAUAAAUAUUAAAUAAUUUUGUUAAAAAAUAUCUGUUAUUUUUAAGCAUGACUACAAUAAGUGAAAGUUCAUACUCAAAAAAUAAAGCAAUUGGACUUUGGACAUAGUUUAUAAACAUAAUAGACUUAAAAUUUCAUAGAUCAAAAAUUUAAGUAAAUAUUAUUAUUAUUAUUAUUUUAUUUUUUAAAAAUAAUUUUAAAUAAUAUAAGAAAAAAAUAUACUAUGAUUCAAUACUUUUAUUUUAUUGUAGAGAAAAUUACUAAUUGUACCUUGCAUAUCUUUCUAUCUUGCCACAAUCAAAAAAUUAAUGUUAUCUCUAAAUACAAAAAAAUUGAUAAUAAGUCAAUAUUUUGAUUAUAUUUGAUUAUUUUAUAUAAUCAAAUAUAACUAUAAAUAUAGUAGUUAUUAAUAUUUUUAAUUUUAUUUUAGAUUUUGUAAUCAAUUAAAAAAAUCAAUAAUUAUAUGAUUUUUUUAUUUUUCAAAAAUAUAAUCAAAAUUCAAUAGCAAUAGAAUUACACAAAGAAUAGAUGAUCAAUUAUUUUAUUGGGAAUUAUAUUGGACUUAAUUUUAAUUCUAAGACUAUUAUUAAUUUCAUAAUUUAAAAAAUCUUCAAAAAUUUAAAUAUUAUUACUUUAUAAAUUUAUUUUUUUUAAAAUAAAAUAAUAAUAAUUAAUUAUAUUAUUUUUAUAGAAAUUAUGUAAGCUCAAGCUACAAGCACAUUCUAAGUUGCUAUACAAACACCUCAUAUUGUUAUAUGCACACUCAAAAAAUAUGGAUUCUUGUAAUUCGUUGGAUAUUUUUAUAUGAACCCUGCCAUAUAACUCAAGUAGGAGAGGUGAGGGGGGAGAAGACGGAGUUUAGAAGAGGUGUAAAUCCUUGUUCUAGUAGUCUUACUAAUUAGUUAAGAAGUUAGAUCAAAGAGUGUUAUUUCUUGCUAGAAUCUCCAAGGACAAAGCCUUUGCUAUAAAAUUUAAAAUCUACACCUUAUAUCAACAAUAUCUUGUGGAAGCAAAGAUCUCUACUUCAUGGACAACUUUAUCAAGAAAAAAUCUUUGUUUUGUAUUCACUUCAAUAAUCUAUAAUAUUAUACCAAUUUUUAUGGCAACUUUAAUAAAUAAUUUCAAGCACAUAUCUUCAACCACCAAAGACUAAGACUUGGAUCUUGAAUAGAGCCCAAUCAACUAACAAUCUCUAUAAACAUUGCCUAUUGAAGAAUUCCUAAUUGCCGAGCAUUAAGCAUUUCAUUGACAACUUUAUAACUAGCCAAAUUUUUAUUCAUUAUUUGUUUGUGAAUUUCAUUCUAUUCUUUUAUUUGCAACAAUGAGCAUAAACAAGAUAAUGUUUAUCAACAACAGCCAUGGAGGCCAUUUGUCAUUAGAUACACAAUUUGUUUCAAAUCAUAAGUACCUUCUUAUUUAUUGCCCGUUGUAUUGCAAGUGAUGGUUGCUACUCUUUUGACAUGUUAGAGGUGGAGUUUGAAUGCUUGAAUAGAGCAAUAUCUUAACAAAAAGCCUACACUUUUUUAGUGUAGAAAACUCAAUUAUGCUGAAAGGAAUAAAUAUUAGAUAGAUAUUGUCAUUAUUCAUUAUAUAUAUAUAUAUAUAUAUAUAUAUAUGUGUGUGUGUGUGUGUGUGUGAAUAUGCAAGAGCUUGAUUAUUUGCUUAUAUAUAUAUAUAUAUAUAUAUAUAUAUAUAUAUAUGUGUGAAUAUGCAAGAGCUUGAUUAUUUGCUUAUAUAUAUAUAUAUAUAUAUAUAUAUAUAUAUAUAUGUAUAUGUGUGUGAAUAUGUAAGAGCUUGAUUAUUUGCUUAUAUAUAUAUAUAUAUAUAUAUAUAUAUAUAUAUGUAUACAUAUAUGUGUAUGUUUUGUACUCUAAGUUAAUAUUAUUACAAAGCUUUUGAGUAACAAGCGCAUUAUAUUAUAUUUAUAAAUAUAUAUAGCUAGCAAAAGGUGUAAUGCAAUAAAAUUUGGCAAAAAAAGACUUGGUACAAAAUGUAGAUUUUAAAUUUUCUUGCGGAGGCUCUAUUCUUCAAAGGGCCCCACAAAGAACAACACCCUUUGACUUUGCUCAUCAACAAGUCAACAUGACUAUUAGAGGGGAGGCUGCCACUUCUUCUAAUUCCCUUCCAAUUAUAUUAAGUAGCAAAGUCUACAUAAAAACAUCUAGCCAAUCACAAGCUUCUAUGUUUUUUUGAUGUGCAUAUGGUAAUACAAGUUGUGUGUGUAGCAACUUAGAGUGUUCUUGUAGCUUGAGCCAUUAUCUAUUCUAUCAUCGUAUAGUAUAGUUUUUUGACAUCUAUAAAGUUAAUCUAAAGACUAGUUAAAACAUAUUUUUGAAAAAAAAAUAAAAAUCAAUGCAAGAAUUAAUAUUUCUUAGCAACUUUUAAACCAAAGUAUUCUAAAUAGAGGCCUAAACUUCAUCAACAUAGAAAUAUUUUGAAUACAUUUUAAGUUAAAUGGAUGCUAAAAGUUUUUUUACCACAUUUUUUAAAAAAAUUUAAUUUUUGUGCUAUAUAAAUUUUUUAAUCCAAUCUUUUAAACAAAUCUAUAAAAAGAUUCUUGAUGUAAAGAGGCUUAUUUUAUCAUCUUUCAAAUACUCUUUUGAAUUUGAAGUGAAGAAAAAAACUUGUGCAAUAUUAAAAUUAGUGACCAAAAGCUUCAAAUACGUUCAAUUUGGUAAUUUCUAAGCAAUGUAAAACUUUCUAUUAUUAUUUGAUUUUUAAAAAAACCUUCAUUGGUACUAUCAUACCAAGAUAAACAACCAUUAAACUUUGUAAGCACAAUAUCUAAUAAAUCAAGGUUAUAUGGAUUAAACAUAUGUUUAAUUAAUGUAUAUAAACCUUUAUUAGAUGCUCAAAUGACAUGAAAUCUAUGCUAUAUCUAAAAUCCCUUUAAUAUUCUUUGUACCUAUAUAUAAGUUAGUUUUUGACCUCAAAGAUUAUUUAUAAAGAGACUAUUUACCUUAAGAAUAAAGUAGAAGAAAAAGAAAAAGAAAAAGAAAAAGAAAACUUUUAUAAAAUUGCAUUUCUCUUACUUUCAUAAAUAUAAUCACAUGAAUUAGUAUCCUACUAUCCAAUUUUAUUUUAAACUAGACAUUACUAUGGAGCAAAAUUAGAGCAAAAGAAAUAAUCCUUAUUGGUAUUUUACAUGAUACAAAGACAUUACAAUAAAUACAUGGCAUAUGAUAAUAUAAAAUGAAAUUAAUAAGAAUUACCAACUAUGUACCACAAAGAUAUUUAAAAUUUUCAUUUAUUGAUUUUGGAGUUGCUGUACAAUUCAAUGCAUUUGGAAGCGAAGCACAACUACUUUAUAUUAUCUUAGCAAAAAUAAAAAGGUCAAGGGCAUGCUAUGUGGCUAGUUCCACCUAUUUAACAAAAAAUAUUUGAUAUUAGUUUAUAAAAUAUUUCUAACAUAAAAAUCAUUUGGCCUUUUAUGAUAAGAGGUUGCUUUUGGAUCAUAUAUGAACAAUAGAAUGACUUAAUUAUAAAAAAAGAGAAAACAUAUGAAUAUGAUUAAAAUAGAUUAAUAAACUAUGACAAAAGAUGUUGAAAGAUAUUUCUCUUAAUAUGUUAAAAACAAAAAAGAAAAAAAAAAAAGAAAGGCAUUUUCUUUUUCUUUUUCAAAAGUCUUGGUUUAGAAAGCCUAAAAAUUAUGGAUUAAAGAUAAAGAGAAGCACCCUACUACCUGAGGUAUACACUUCUCACCCAACAUAGAAGUUCUCACCUAGACUCUGGAAUUGUAACCCUGUUUUUCAAUGGCAAGGGGGGUUUUCCCCUUAUGUUUAAAAUAAAAUAAAAAAACACAAACACAAGCAAUCAAAGCAUGAAUCCCUGAUGAGUAGAACCCGGAUGAACCUAAAUUAGGAUUUAGACAGAUGAACAAUACUGCUGCAGAGGCAGAGUAAUUCAGAGUAAUUCUGUCUGUCUGUUUGUAUGUUUGUCAGUUCAGCUAGAUUGCUGACUUGCCUGGUAGGAACGAGAGCCUCUUUCAUGUCCAAGGCUCUGCCAGAACGUUGAGCUCUGAAGACCAUUGACUCAGUGUUCAAUGCCGAGCAAGGAGCUAUUAAUGCGUUUCAACCCAUCAGGAUUUGGUGGCAUAGUUUACUACAAAGUUCAAACAGAGAUCAUUGAUGUGGGGGAGUUUGAGCCAGCCUCAUUUACUCGGAGGGCUCUUCACAACAUUGCUCGAGAUGGGUCGGCAGCAUUAAUCGCGUAACAAAUUUUUAUCGUGGUUGAGACGCAAUUCAAACGCUGGUAGUAGGCGCCACAAAGUGCUAAGAGGAUAGAUGAAUUCAGGGCAGCUUUUACAAAGUGAUAUAUAGUUGGGUUUUUGUUUUUUACUUUUUGUUUUGUUUUGUUUAAGUGUUUUAGUGUUUUUCCCUCUUUCAACCCUAACUGCUGUGUUGCCUAAGUUGAUCUCUCAUUAUAGGGGUGUACUUAAGACGAAUUGAGUCAGAAAACCCUGCAGCUUGCCUGGCUCCACACUCUGUUCAUCUCUUAUUUCCAGAAUACCUCAUCACUCAAUCUGUAGGAUGGGUUCUGACGAUUAUUGGUGCAGUACACGUUCGAAUCAACUGUAGCUCCGUUGUUAUUCAGCCAGCUACGUGUAAAAAUGUGAUGGUGAACUAGGUGCUUGAACACUGAAAAACUGUACAUGGGAAUUUCAUUGGUCUGCUCACAUACAUUUGUCGAGAUGUAGGGCAUUCAAGAGGAUUUAAGCCUUAGGGUAUAGCUUUGAAUAAGGGAAUUUAUACAUUGAUAGACUCAGGAGAGUUGCAGUGUCGCAUUAAACUUCACUGCCAGCCAUCAUUCCUCAACUUUACUACGGCGCUGGUGAUUUCAACCUUUUGUAUGUGUUACAUUACCCCUGCUGGAAUGGUGAUUUUCCUCUUGCUAAUCUCGUUACUACUACUCCUGAAUUCGCUGCUGUGUGCAUUCGGGGUGACGCUCCUGUAAUUAUGUGAGAUUCAUUGCUCAUACUAGUUAUAUUGUAGAGGUCUUGUACAUUCAUGGUUCCUAUGCGGUUAACUUGAUUUCAUACACACUUUUAAGUUGUUACAGCUGAGCUGAUCUAGACAUUAUACUUGGUUGAAGGCCGAAAGAGUCGCGGGGAGCAGAUCGUUAGUGAUAAUCAUCGAGCGAGUACAACCUUAGUAGUGGCACUCCCCUGCCGGGAGAGGUGUACCAUUCCGUUGCCAUUCCAUUGCCUUCACGAUUUCUCGAACCCUCACGACAUCGAGCGUAGAUCGAGCAAUCCUGCAGGUCCAAAAGCCAAGGACAGAAGUGCCGCAGGUUGUAUGGCCUUGAUGAUUUGCACCUCAGUCUGGUAACAAAUUGCAACUUGUCAAACGGACGUGACUGCAUCUGCUCGUGUAUGGAGGAUGCGCAGUACAUGGAUAGCCUACGAUCUGCUGUUGUGUAUGCUAUUUUAAUUAUCUCAAAGUUUUGGGGUAUUCCUUCUCCGUAUUGAAUCUUGGUAGAAGCUGGCUUGCUGAGUCGUUUGCGGCUGUCAUCAAGGAUCAUUUCGCAAUCUUUCUCCAGCGCUGCUGUUUUUUUUGUUCCACCUUCUACCUACGGGACGGCGAGCUCAACAUGUGAUGCGUAGUGCUUUCAAGUCACUGCUCAUUGUCUUCUAAGAGAGUAUGCAGAUACAUUUAGCUCGGACCUCUACCAGUUAGGCUCAGUUGUAAUUGAAUACAGGAGGAAGGAGUUCGGGUUACUUGAGAUGCACUAGUGAAAAACUUACACCACCUGGAGCUUCUCGACUUUGGUAAAACUGUUAUGGCACGGAUCACCGCAGAUUUAAAUUGAGAGGUUGAACCAGCAAGAAGUUGGCGCACACACCAUGGAUUCUUCAUCUGAGUCCUAUCACAAAAUUGAAGUGAUUUAUCUCCUCAGCAAGGGGGCCGAGCAGGAUGAUCAUCCACACAUGAUACAAGUGCAGUAUCCCUCACACCAACAUGCCCCUACACUUAGAGGUUUGUCAAAACUGCGAAACCAGUUCCCGCUAUUCUUCUAGCGCGUGUAUUAUCACAGGUCUUGCGCAACAUCUUCUUUUCUAAUUGCGUAUCAUCUGUUACUUCUCCGUGUUGAAGAGCCCUCUACCUCUGGUCGAUCUAGAGUUAAUUGAUAUCUUUGUUUGUGAGACUGUGGUUCAAAUGUUUCAGUCUUGCAACAUUUCGUAGUGAACGCUCCUUGUCGCGAAAGACAAUGUCUCGUUAAUAUUCGAUAUGGAUUUGCACAGAUGUGAAGUUCCGGUUGACUGCACUUCGGGGAAGAGGCAUGCCGGAUUCUUACUCUUGGUCAUACAAAAGGUAGCUCAAUCAGUCUCAUGUGAGGCUUCCCUGAAAGCAGUCAAAAGUAACACUGUAAUCUGUAUGCUGAUGAAGGUUUCCUUUUACUUGCUUACCUUCGCAGCAUAGAUGCAUCUAAAUUUAACGAGUAGAAAUGCUGUUGGAAAUUGCAAUAUUGGAAAUAUUACUUGGUUGUGAAGUGAGAUAGCAGCCAUUGUUUGUGUGCAGGAGCUACAAAGGAACUUUUAUCUGGUGCGAUGUCUUUGACGGUGACGAUAUUCUCCCGCUUAGUGAAAGUGGCGAAUAUGUUCUUAAAGCUUUGGAAGUUAUGGAUUCUUCAGAAGGUAAUUCUCAGUAACGCAAAACAAUGCAUGUGACGAAGCUUUACUGCCAACUCCCCCACUCGCUAGAAGAUUGUUCGAAAUAGGUUAAGUUGUUUUCUUAGAAGAGCUCUUGCAGCAAUCAAUGAAGAUUCACUAUACACGUAGUUCAUUCUUGCUCGCAGAUGCCUGUGACCGAGGAGUAGAACACCUUGGCCAAGAGGUAGCGAGGGUGUUGCCAACAAAUCGUAACGGAACUUCGGCAAAUUUCAAUGAAGUGCACAGUAUCGACGACGUUCGCAGAGUAGCUCCCAACAAGUGUGUGGAAGUGAAACGACAGUUCAUGGGAGGCUCUGUUCACAAUAACAUGACUGGAAAGGCAAAUCGCAAUGAACAAGGAGAUGCUUACGGAACCACCUCGCGAGUACCUGACCCUGAGAAUUGUAUUGAGAAUAAGAGGUGCCUAGAAAGUAUGACGGGAAGUGACUCGUCAAGAAGCAACAUUUCAACAGACGAAUCCUACGGAUUGUCCUUUGAAAGGGAUCUGAAGAUGGAUAUGAAGGAGAUGCCGGCUUGCCCAGCGACACGGUCAACUGACCAUGGUGGAAUGUCUUCACUUGCACCACGAUCAUCACGGUUGUCUAGAAGAGAAUACGUAAAAUGUAAAACAUGGGCAGUGAAGGAAGAUGAAAAUGCUGCUCUAAACCAUGGCAGGUUGUCACGAAGGUCUAGCGACACACUUCGUGAUAGCAAUUCCGUGGGAAAUACAGUAGAUAUACCAUCUAGUCCGGUGACGCGACCUUGUUUUCCAGGGGAUCCACUCAUCUUUAUGCUGAAGAAAGCUACCAAGUUCCAUCGCUCUCAGCUGUGCAGGAAAGCAGAAGUUGAAGGAUCCCCAUGUGCAACAGUAGGGAAACCUAGCUCUUCUCGACACACAUCCAAAAUCAGACAUGGUUCAGGGCCGUUGAAGGCUUACCACGGUCCUCACUCAAGUAAAUCUGCGACUCAGAAUUCAAGGCCAGUGACGUAUGAGACAUCUGCCAAGGAAUCCGAGAGAGAUAUCAGAAGUCUCUGUCAAUUCCUGGGGGCUUCCAAUGUUGGAUCCGUCUCCCAGACGAUCAAUAAGGAGGGCACCAAGAAAACAGGAUCGGCUCGACACAUCCAAGCGGGUAGUAAUGAUGAUUUCGACUUUGCUCGGCACAAAGAAGUGGCAGUAGAUAUCUCUGAAAAAUUAUUGCUACCAGAACAAGUCACAGGGAGGUAUGAGAAGCCCAGCAGGAUGUCCAAGCAAUUAAUUAACAAACUGGAUUCAAAAUCACUGAAUAUGGUUACCAGACCAGCUGUCCGGCUGUCUUCCAAGCUUGGCUCUGGACAGGCUUCCGAAUCGUUCAGUCCAGCAUCUCCACAUGCCCCUCAGCGCCCCAUAGUUUCCAGACCCCAAGAGAAAGCCGUAAAUCAAUUAUCCCUCGUUGCAGGAUUUGAAGACCCACAGAUCACAAGCAGCGAUACCUCCAAUGCCGGGUAUGGGCACACCUUGAUUUCUGCCAAACUAACCCCCAUCAAUCUUGUUCUAAAUGUUACUGAAUUAUUUUAAGUGAGAGAAAAAUCAAAACUGUGAGGAAUAAAAUAUAAACACAGUCCUGGGGAUGUUGCGUGAAUUUGCGAAUUGUUUGAUCAUUGCUGGGUAAUAAUUCGUUGCGUUCGCUAUGUAGUUUAUCUUGUACUUCGAAGGCAUCAGGCCUGAAAGCGGUCAAACUCCCCAGAAAUGCGAGCAACAACUGUUACUUCAGUCUAACUAUUCCAGAUUUAGAGAAAAGAGCAGCGGACACAAAAGUCUAUCCAUGGCGGGAGAAUUCUGCAUUCAACUCUAUCGAAUUGUACAGCGGUACCUUGCAGAAGGUGGAUUUGGUAAGUCCAUAUCUCAAGCUUCAGGCGAACUCCACGACUGAAACAAAAGAACCUGCGAAACCAAAGAAUUCGCCGUCAAAGCAUGGAGACUUCGAUGAUAAAGAAGAGAGGUUCACAAUGGGUUUUCCUUCAUUUGAUUACAUUCAGUAUUCUCACAGGGGACGUGGAUUGCAGGGAUGACAUCUUCUAGAGAUAUACACAUUCAGAGGCCUCUUUUUGAUAUGAUCGCAUACAGUUGAUUUUGUAAGUAACUCAAGGAAACGUUCACUGCAGGCCAUUAACACCAGCUUCAACGGAGCGACAUUGGGAGAACUUGCUUCAGGAGGCUGUUAGUUGUUCACAGUCAAUCUCCAAAGGAUUUGAUACUGCAUGAAUGCUCGUAAGUGCCUCAUUCAAGGUUUCAGUAAUCUCUCCUCACCAUCUUCAUCGACCAUAAUGUACUUCUACCCUUCCGUUGACUAUUUCAAAUGAUAAUAUCUCCCCAGUUCUUGAAAUCAGUUCCCGCAGUGUGAAUACAGUGGAGUUGGGUUAAGUCUGUCACGAAAUCUCUCGGUGAUAAGGUUGAUUCCUUUUCCUAACCCCUCCCUAAAUAGCAGCAGACGGUCACUGUCACACGUGUAAUAUUCGGUCAAUAAUGAACCCUUCUUUCCCGAGAACAUUAGUGCGAAUAUUUGCCCUCAUUGGUGCUGCUUGUCCACCGCUACGUCGAUUAAACGGUAACCCUAACAUCGUCCGGUGUGGUAUAUGUUGAUGCAGUCCGCUCGGGCGCACAUUCAAAACCAUUAAGUCAACAUGCCCAGCUGUCGCGUCAUGAACACGCUUGCAGCAUUGAUUGACGUGGGUAGGAAAAGCCCUACCAAUCUGACCGUUUUUACAACUCAUGGCGGCUGUAGCAUCGUAUGGUAGGUGACAAGAAUGGGGCCAGUACGUCAGAAUGCUUGGUUUCUCUCUAUUUUUAUUUUUACUUUGAUGCAGACCAUUGCAGCGAAUCUGUCUGAGAUUUUCAAAGAAGGGUUUGAUGUAACAAACAUAAGGCUCGAAAUACCCAUCAGAGAGUACUGGAAUCCAGUAAUAAAAAAUAAAAAAAAAAAAAAAAAAAAACCCUGCGGCAGCUACUUGUUACAUUUCAAUGGGACAUGAAUAGUGUACUUUAUUAAAAAUUCACAGUGGCUACUCUGUAUUCAUCCAUUUAAUGUUCCUUAAAAUGCUUCCAAUAUACGCAAUGAUUUAACGCAAAAAUGUGCAAAUCCAAACCAGGGAAUAUGCGGUUGGCAACCUCAUUGUAACUUUUCAAAUUGAUGAUGAAUAUCGAGCUGUUAGAAUUGCAAUACCAACUACUUGCCAAACUUGCAGUUAAUACUGUGAAAAUUUUAAAUUUACACGAUAAUGGAUUAAUGAAACUGUAUCCGCCCAUGUUGCAUGGUAAAUCACUGUGCAUUUACACAGAGUAGAAGAAACAAACAUGAUCCACUCAUUUUCAUUACGCCAGUGCCGUUUUGACGUCAGACUUGGAAAUGAUUUCUCCCCGCACCCUACUCGACAGAGAAGGAGGGACAUUGAAACGUUUCCCGUCGCCCUUCCACAAAGCAGGCAGCUUCCAAAUCCCAACCAACUUCCCAUCUUGAUUUAUCCCAUUCACUCCUUCGGAAAUAAAAUAUUCGGGCAUCGAAAAGUUGAAAGGAUUAGUGAACACGUUGAUAGGAUAAGCGUCGCCAAAUUUGAUGUCCCUAUUGAUGGCAUUGUCGUCCUGUACAAAUCCUCGCCCCGUCUCAGUGUGCCAGUUCGUCACCAAGUAUUUUGCACCUGACGCUUCGAGGUUGACAAAACCGCGCACUCCAUCCUUGAGGCUGUUAUGCUGGAUCCCGUCACGGCAGAUGAUGAGGUCCGGGUUUACCGUAAUGGGCGUGUUCACAAAAUCCACCCUAGCGAAGUCUACAUUAGGGAAGUCUUUGAACCUCUCCGUGUUCUUUUGAAUGAUUUGGGGGACAAUGUCGUACCCAGUAUACCUUGUGGAAUUAAAACCCUCGAUUAAAGGUUGCCAGUUGACGUCUGCAUAAAUCGAAGGAAAAGUAGGAUUAAUGGUUUACACUUGAGAUACUAUGCGCGGUCUGUUUACAGCGGCUAGUAGAUAGUAAAGCGGCAGUUAGAACGCAUCUUACCUCCACAAGGUGCGUCAAGUACGUGCUGAACACGAUAAUCCUUUAGAGCGUGCGCAACCAGCAACCUAACAUUCCCCGUGUAAUCAAUCCUGCUACCAGGACCUGAGCGAGACUCGCCUCCACCCCAAAAGUCGGUGGUGAAAAUUUUCUCGAAAGCUUUCGACCUCUCCUCUGUUUCCAGCGAUUGGAUCACUCUCUCUGCUUCUGCUUGCCUAGCAUUUCUCUCACUUUUACAAUCACACGCUUUGACAGGAAAUUGAACUGGAUCACUACGUUGAAACUUCUUUGCCUGGAGGUGCCGAUCUGUUAAGGGGCGACUCCCUUCUGAAGUAAAGGUGGACAGGAAUGACAGAAGUGGGAAGAAGACCGUCACUAACACUACAAGAACGACGCAGACACGUUUUGCUUGACAUCGAGGCCGGCUGAUCCUCGCCAUAGCACUGACAGGCACUCUGCACGGCCGUCACAGAAAGUUGGUCCAGCAACUCGACAAAAUUUAUUUUUGGAAAAAAAAAAAAAAAAAAAAAAAAAACUGUAUUAUAAUGGCUCCACACAAAGCAUCAGCUCAACUCAUCAUAGCUGAGCCAGAAUCGGUGAAAAAGGGCAGUGGCAGCGCAUCUUCUAAAACUCCCAUGUUCCACCCGCAAAGACGGCACCGUUCUCACAAAUCACAAGUCAUGGUCAACGCGCCAUCUCACAUGGAAGCAACUAAAACCUCCAUUUUCGAACAACACCUCAAAACCACUACGAGUCCAUCAACCGCACGCACCACCAAUCCCAAAGUUCAGAAACCCGCGUCGCAUUCCACCAUGUCCUCAGCUCCCUGCCCCUUGAUCUCGCAAAGCCACAGAGCCUAUUCACACACUACUCCAAGCUAAUCAACAACAGCGUUCCAACCUCCAGAAACCUUAACCCCUCACCAAAGCUCACUGGCGACAAUCUCAGAUCCAGACAGAAAUAUCCCGAUCCCGAGUCACGUGGAAAGUGAAGCAAGCUCUCAGAUCAGCGAUGGACGCAGCCUUGCGUACCGAUAACCCACAAAGAGCGAGGGAGCGCGAAGGAAGCGGUGGCCGGGGGCAAACACUCGCUGAAUCGUGUGGCAUAAACCACUUUCUUCAAUCGACUGUCUUGAGACAUCUGGGCCGUCAGAUUUCCAUGUUGAAUCCUGACCGUUACAGGAUUUAUUGGGAACGCCUGGAGGGAACGGAAGGGAAUCAGGGGGCGUGCGGGUUGGAGGGCGUGAGGUUGGAAACUCAGAACCCAUUCCUGAUUGGGCCCGCACGGAUCCAUGUUCUACUCCCUCACUGGGCCCACUUUGAUCCGCAUUCACAUGGGUGCGGAAGUUUGUUCAGGUCUCUGUGCCAUGAAUGAUCAAAGAAUCAGUUACUCUGCUGGUCGCAGAACUCGGAGAAAUUGAUUACUACAUAUUGCAUACAAAAGCAGUUCAAAAAUAAAACACCAACUAUCACAAUGUGAAGGUCCUCCAGGUGAAUGAAGACAUUGAAGUAUCAACGAACGACGAAGGAAUCUCUCCAACUAACAGAUUUUUGCUGAAAUUUCUGCUCAAUGCCAGGUAUACAAUUCAGCAGCUUCCACAGCACAUGAUGAAACUUUGCGUCUACAAAAUCGCAAACAAUGCUAUCUUGCGCGUGGCCCUCCGCCUUAGACCCUAAACCACAACAACUACACUAGAAGCACAAUCCCGAUUUUCAACCUUCAAAAUAAUUUUUUUGUUGCCAUACACAACGGCAAUCAUACAUGUACAUGAUAUAUUUUUUUCCAGGAAGAAUCUUUUCAACUUAAAAAAUUUACUCAUUAAUUUUUUCUCAAACGCAGAUAUUUUAUAUAAAAAAAAAGGUUUAUCAUUGAUUAUUUCUUUUUAUAAGAAAUAAAAUAUAGAUUGGCUACAUUUUAGUUCAUUUUAUUUUUUAUUGAAUAUUUAAAUUACACAUAGUUUAUUAAUAAUAUUGUAAAAUUUCUCUUCAAAAUAUUUUGCAAAUCAUAAAACAUUUUUUACAACCAUUAUGUAUCUAAAUAGUUUUACAACUAAAACAAGUACAAUAAUCAUAAUAGUGUUGUCAUAAAAACCACCACUAAAAUGAGUCUUUAUUAUAUAUAAUGAUAAAUACUACAUAUGAAAUAUCAUCAAAUCAAAUCAAAUCCUUAUAAAAAGUACCAAAUUUUGCAUCUAUAUUUUUAAUAAAAAUCUAAAUCCUUGAAGAAUAAUUCUACAUCUUAGUCAAUAUUGCAUCCUUCUUUAUCUAAUGCAAUACUAUUAUCUUCUUUAUCUUCUUUUAUUUUCUUAUCAUGUAUUGGUAAUUUUUGCAUUCAAUUUUGAUAACUCUAAUAGAGAAUAUGUUUAAAUCUUUACACUUAAGAUAUAUUUUUUUUACAUAGCUUAGGUAGUCUCACUUGUAUAUGCUUUUCCUAAACAACUUCUUAUCUUUGUCAUAAAACUUUGAGUCCACCAAGUUUUGGUGCUAUUAGAUUCUUUCUAUUAUAUUUAUUAUUAUUAUUAUUAUUAUUUUUUGGCUUCUAAAUCCAAGUCUAAUAUUUUUAGCAUGAGCUUGUAUAGGGAUGAUACUACCACCUUCUCUUAGCAUAGAGAUUUGUAGAAAUCUUAGUAAUAAGUCUUUUGUACCUUAAAAGUAUCAAGAUUAAUUAUAUUGCUUUAUUAAAAGCCUCAUAUUGUUCUAUGAUUAAGGCCUCGAUCUUGUUUGAUAUCAUCAAACUAGUUAUUUCAAAUAAUUUGAGGACUUGAAUAACAUGCCUAGGAAUUUGAAUUCUAUUAUUUCUUCCAUUGCUUGGACUAUCAUUUGGUUCAAUACUUGGACUAUUACAUGGAACAUCAUCAAAAACAUCUUAUUUUUAGUUGAAGAAGCUAUUGUCUUUGUAUGCUUUUAGUAAUAAAUCCAACAAAUGUGGAUAUUCUUCAUUAACAAUCCAUCUUAUAAUCUAAAUGUAUUUACAUAUAAAACCAUAAUCAUUGCAUUUACACCAUUUGUGAGAUAAACUGAUAAUAUACCAUUUUGUUAGAAUAUCCUAGCUUUGAAAGGCAAAAUCCAUGCAUCAUAUAUCAAGAACUUCAAAAUUUGACAAUUGGUCUUAUUUGUAAUAUUUAACCAAUCACCUAGUUCUUUACAAUCUUAAUGUUUGUUAUUUGUUUCCUCCUCUUAAUUUAUUUUUUAUUUAUUUUUUAUUUAUUAAAUAUAUGGACAUCAUUGUAGUAUUGUACCAAAGUAAUUCUUCUAAAACAAUAUCAUGUAUAUGGCUUGCUUAUCAAUGCAAUGAUGAGUUCAUAAAGUUGUCAAUUUAUUUUUUCAUUUAAAAGGAUAUAUUUCAUAUAUUCUCACGUGUAUUCUACAAGAUUAGUUAUAUUGGCAUGUCCAUGGUGAUAUAACCUAGAUUAUUUUGGCUACAUCAACUUUCAUUGGUAAUUGUGCCUUGCCCAACCAUUCUCUACAUAUUUAACUAUUUUUUUUAUUUUUUUAUAUUUUCAGCCUAUGUAAUUUUAUAUCUGCUAUACUCAAUGUCAAUUUUUUUUCCACUAUUAACUUCUAUUAUAGAUCUUAUUGUCUUUCAUAAAUCAAAACACUCAAUUUUAAGUAAUUAAAGCAAUAAUUAUUCAAUCUAUGUUUUUUUUGUAUGGAAUCAAUACAAAAUUAUAUGAGACUUUACUUGAAUUCCACCAUUUUUUUUUAUUUUUCUAACACAAAAGGCUUCUUUAAUGGCUUUCAUUAAAGCCUUAUAUUCUAUACUAAUUUUAUCAAUUAUUAUUGCUUUUGAUCAAAUUAUAUUCAUAUUUUAAAACAUGAUAUAUAUUGUAAGAUAUAAUGCCAUUUGCUCUUAAUUAAUAUCAUUAUAAAUACUACAAAAUAUCAAAAAAAUUACCAUCUCUAAUCCCAUUAUAUUAAGGUACAUUCUAGCAUACAAUGGCAUAUUCUAUUAAUUGGACUUAAACAUUGAGUCCACAAUCCAUGCCAAACUUGUUGUAAUAUCUUUUGUUCUUUCAAGCAUAUUUUUUAUUUGCAUCAAUAAUACAAAUGAUAGCUCUUCUAUUAUUAGAUUUUUUGAAUCAUAAGCUUAGUAGAAAAUUAUUUCUUUAUUUUCUAUCUAUUUAAGAACCAUUUUUCUUACCACUUCAUAGUUUUUUUUAUUGCAUCUUUUUUUUAUUUGAAGAUGAUAUGAUAGGUUUGAUAUUUCUUUUGGAUCUAAAAAAAAUAAAAUAUUCAUUGUUCAUGCAAUAGAAUUUACUUUUUUUAAUUUUUUUCUUCACAUCUCUUGAAAUAUUCUAAAAUAAAUUUUAUGAUAUUAAGAUUAUUUAACAUCUUAGCACAAUUAUUAAUUAUAUUUUGAUGAAUAGGUUAAAAAUAAGAAUCUUUUUAUGAUCUAGGAUUAUGGCCAUUAUGACUUGAAUUGAUAUACACUUCAAUAUGUUGUCCUUCAUCCUUUGGAUAUAAUAAUUUCAUAAAAAAUUUAUAUCUUUCAUAUCUUUUAGGCAACCACUAUUUAAAUUUUUCAAUAUUGUUGAUUAAAUUAAUAUCCUCACAACAAAACUUUUAUCUUUGAUGGCACACAAAGAUUGUCAUCUUUGGAGAAUAAGGUGUCUUUCUUUGAUAUUGAUGGAUUAGCUUCAAUAUCUUUAUAUGUUUGGUCUUUAAAUUAUUUAUAAAUAUUUUUUCUUAGAUGCAAUCAAAUAUAUGAUGUUAUGUAUAUUGUAUCAAGGAUAUGAAUCUCAAAGAAAAAAAAAAUCCUUAAUAUAGUCUUGUGUCACUAAAAGGAACUAAAAAGCCACUUAAAGAUGAUAUAAUAUUAAACUAGAAUGGCUAUUACUAAAAAAAAGAAAACCAAAUAAUCUUGAAACAAGACUAAAGACUAGAAAGAUGUUAACAAGAGUGAAGAAGGCUUCACUCUUACCUCCAUAUAUAUUCUUAAUUAGGAGCUAUAUGGUGAUGUCCUAUUGAAUAUUCAAAACAUGUUGACUUUGUAAGAUACAAAACUUAGCUUGCAAGACAAAUUUUUUAUAUGUGCACCACAUAGUUAGCUUCUUCUACAAGUUACCUGUCAAGAACAUGAAUUAGAAGAUGCAUAAACUUAAAAAUUUUGUAUCAAAAGAAAAGUGAAAAAAUAGAAAUAAAUUAUUAUGUAUACUAAAAGAAAAUUAAAAUGACUAUUGUCAAAAGACAAAGAAACUAGAGAUCCUUAAACCUAUACUAGAAAUAAGAAAGGAGUUGACAAGAGUGAAGAUGACUUUACUCUUGCCUCUAUAUAUACUAUCUAAUUAGGAGCUAUAUGGCAAUGUUCUAUAGUAUUUCUAAUAUGUGUUGACUUUGUAAGAUACAUGCCUUAGCUUACAAGACAACUUUUAUGUAUUUGGGCCACAUAAUUAGCUUGUUUUUCAAGCUACCAACAUGUGUGGCACAUGUCCAACUUAUUCACCACUUUUUUAAUCUAAAAAGUCAAUUAUAGAUACUUAUAAAAUCAAAGCAACAUCUAUGAAGCUUCUAAAAAGCUUCUAUAUAAGAUAUUAUGGAAUUAACCUACUUUACUUACUUUUAUGUAAUCAUAUAGAUAAUUAUUGGUUUAUACAUGCAUAUCCGUAAGACUAUCAAUAUGUGGUUAACUUGUUGAGUAAGUUUCUAACCUACCAAUCAACUAAUAAUACAAAUAAAAUCAAAGCAGUAUCUAUGAAGCUUCUAAAAAGCUUCUUUAGAAGGUAUUAUGAAAUUAACAUACUUUUAUUUAAUUUUACUUACUUCUAUCUAAUUAUAUAGAUAUUUAGUAGAAUAUCUAUGUAUAUUUGUGAUAUUAUCUCUUCUUCUAAGAACAAAUUCUACAAGAAGUGAUCAUCAUAUAUUAAUAAAAUCCAAGGUGCGACAAAUUAUAUUUGCGACAUACUUUGAUCUUUGAUCUUUUCAAAGAUAGUUGAUAGGUUAUAUCAACUAUCGAUAGUGUUUUAUACCAAGGCAAGAAAACCACCUUGUUAUUUAGUCAUUGUUGAGGCCUUUAUAACUUUGUUCAAAUAAAAUAUUUGAAAAACUAUUAGGAAUUCUUCCUACUUCUCAUAAUAUCACCAAACAUCAAAAGUCUCUUUCAAGGUCGUGAUACCAAACACAUUAUAUCUUGCUAUUUAUUUGAGGAAGGGCAUGUUGUUCUUAAAGAUCUUCAUUUCAAUUACAUUGCCUUAAAGAUUGUAACAAUUACAAUGUCUUAUUUGUUAAGUUGUAAAUAAAAGUUCUUGAGUUGAAUCUGUUGGUUAUUGGUUCUCUAUCUCCUUAGCAUCAUAAAUACAUAGAAGUUACAAAAAAGAAUAGGAGAUAGAGUAUUAUCUUCGUUUGAAUUUGUUUAUUUUUUAACAAAUUUUUUCAUUUUUAAGAUUCUUUGCUCAUUCUUAUGUGUUUUCACUAAUAUCAUAUCCAUGCUAAUGAAUAAGAGAUUCCAAACUAUUUUAGAACUACUUUAAAUCUAAGACUUCUUUUACUUAAAACUCUUGAUUAUUAUCCACUUCUAUAGGAGGAGGUGUCAUUUUUCUUCUUCUUGAGAUAUUCACUGUCUUAUAUGGCUCAAGAAGAGACACAUGAAAUAUGAGAUUGAUCUUCAUAGACUCCAAAAGAUAUAAUUGAUUAAAAAUAAGAUUGACUUGUUUACUAAUAGGAAAAAGUCCAAGCUUAUGAUAGUCCAACUUGACACAAGAAUGAAUAGUCUUGAUAUUGUGAUAAAAUAAUUAUAUCUUUUCAUCUAUGUUGAAUUGUGGUUGUUCUUUGCAAUAGGCAUGUGCAUUAAUUUUUUGUUGUUUUUGAGCUCCUUUUAACUAUGCCUUCAUUGUUAUAUGCAACUCUUACAAACAAUUUGCAAAAUCUUCUACUACAAGUUUAUCAACUUUCGAAAAGUCAAAAAUAUCAAAUCAUGGAUGAUAAUCAUAAUUGACAAAGAAAAGUGUUUGUUAAGUGGAAGAAUGCACCAAAUCAUUGUAUGCAAACUCCACCAGUGAUAAAAGAGUUGUUCAAUUAUUGUAAUAAUAGUUGAUGGUAUACCUCAAGUAUUUCUCUAAAACUUGAAUUACAUGUUCUAUUUAUCCAUCAAUUUGAGGAUAAAAAGUCAAAGAGAGCUUUAUAUCUAAUUUUAAAAUCUUGAUAUAAAUUAAGUUUUUUGAUUCAAUAUAAUAUCUUUAGGCAAUCUAUAAUAGCUAUAGAUGUUGUUUAAAAAAAGUUUAGCCAUUUCUUCACCUAUGAUAGAUUUUAUAUAUAGUAUAAAAUAUGUCAUCUUGAUAAAAUAAUCUAUUACUACAAAUAUAAAAUCAUACAAACUUGAGACUGAAAGAUCCAUGAUAAAAUCCAUAGAAGCAGAAGACCAUGGUUGUUUUAAAAUAAGUAAUGGAUGAAGAAGUCUAUAAUGUUGAUAGUUAGGAGUUUUGGAUCUUGAACAAAUAUCAUAUGAUUGUACAAAGUCUUUAACUACCUUUUAUAUUUGAAACCACCAAAAAUCUCUCGAUAUUAGCUUCAAAGUCUUAUUGUAUUUAAAGUAUUUAGCUAUUGGAAAGUUGUGACGAGUUUGAAGAAUACAUAAUUUAAUCCACCUUUUGGAAUGUAUAAUCUUCCUUUAAAAUAGAGUAAGUUGUUCUUGAACUCAAACUUAGAAGUAUUAUGAGCCUUAAAAGAAUUAUAUUUGAUAUCAUAGAGAAGAAGAUCAGAGGACAUACUUGAUUGAAUUUGCUUGAUAAAUGUUGAAUCAACAAUUAAUGUUGAUUUUUUUGCUUGAAGGUGAAAAUAUUUUGGCUUAAAAAUAAUAGUUAUUUGUUGAUCAAAAGAUGCAUCUCCUUCUUUUGGUGUAAGAUAAGAACAUCUAAAAAGGGCAUCUGACAAAUCUUAUUAUUUUUUAGGUCAAUAAGUAAUCUAAAAAUCAAAUCUCGAUAAAGACAUACUCCAAUGAACUUAGUGAUGUUUUCAAAUACAUAUUGACAUGAAAUACUUGAGGUUCUUGUAAUCUAUAUAUAUGAUGAUUGGACUCAAGGUGUCUUCUAAAUAAUGACGCCAUUCUUGAAACGAAUCCACAAUUGUAAAUUUUUUUUUAUCAUGGAUCUCAUAAUUAGUCUAAAUUGCUGAAUAUUUUUUGGAAUGAAAAGCUACAAGAUGGGAUUUGUCAUUUGUUUCCAUUUAUGUUAAUAUUGCACUCAAAAAAAAGUUUGAUGUAUCUAUUUUCAUAAAAAAUACCUUAAAGAAGUCAAUACAAUAUAAGAUUAGUACAAAAAUAAAUUCCUUUUUGAAAGCAUCAAACAUUACUUUGGCUUCUUUAUUCCACUAAAAUUUAUCUUUAUAAGUCAAAUGUGUAAUUGGAGCUGCAACUUGAGAAAAAUAAUUUAUAAAGAUUUGAUAAUAAUUGGUAAAAUUCAAAAACCAUUGCAUGUUCUUUAUUGCUUUUAAAAUCUUGCAAUCUAUAAUAGUCUGGACCUUCUUUGGAUCCAUAAUUAGUCCUUCAUUGGGAAUGAUGUAUCCUAGGAAGUCAACUUGAGUAGUAUAGAAUAUACACUUUUCUAACUUUGUAUAUAAUCCUACAUCUCUAAGUUUUUGUAACAGACAAGAAAUGUGAAUUUCAUGCUCUUCUAUGUUCUUAGAAUAGAUUAAGAUGUUGUUUAUAUAAUAGAGGGCAAAAUCAUCAAAAAACUCUUAAAAGACAUCAUUUAUUAGAUGUUAAAAAAUAGUUGGUACAUUCAAGACUUCAAAAGGCAUGACAUUAUAUUCAAAAUGUCCAUACCUAAUUUUAAAUAUAGCUUUUCAUUUAUCUCUUUUUUUAAUGCUUAUCAAAUUAUAUAUUACUUAUAAAAUUAUUUUUAGAUAAAUCUUUCCUUGAUUCAAUUAAUCAAGAAGUCUUAAAAUCAAAGAUAGAGGAUACUUAUUCUUGAUGGUGAUGUUAUUGAGUCCUUCAUAGUCUACACACAUCCACAAAGAUCCAUCUUUUUUUUUUACAAAUAAGAUAGGAGCCUCAACUCGACAUUUAAAAUGAUGUAUGAAAUUCUUAGCUAAGUUGUCAUCAAUAUACUCAUUGAGUGCAACCAACUCGUUUUAUGAUAGGCUAUAGAUUGAUCCAAAUAGUGGUUGAGUUCUUUCGUGAAGAUUGAUGGAAUAAUCAUAAAGAUGAUGCUUUGAAAAGAUAUCUUCAUUCUCUUUUUCAAUAAUGUCUUAGAAAUCUUGAUACUCGCUAAGAAUACUAUUUGACAUCUUCUUGCCAUUAGAAAUGGAUAUGGCUUUAUAAAACAAAAGAUAACCUUUCUUUUGCAGCAUACUUAAAAAGCUCUCGCAUCUACUAGUAAUGAUUUAGAUGUAUUAGACUUAUGUAUUUUUACUUAACUAAUGGAAUUUAAAUUAAAUUAUCAAAAGAUUUAAAUUACAAAAAAAUCUAAUCUAUUUGAGGAUAAUACUUUUCUAAUAAAGAUAAUUCUAAAAUAAUUAGAUUGGAUGGAGAUCUUAUUACAUUAAAUAUUUCUAUACUAUUAUGAUCUUUAAUUGCUACAUCUAAAAGAAUAGUUUCAUGCAUAACAUCUCUAGAAAAUAUCAAAUCACCAUCCAAUUUUUUCAUGGUCUAUAAGAAAUUUAAAAUGUAUCAUAUUAAUUUAUAUUGAUUUUGGCUUCUAUGAAUAAGUUUUUAAAAACUUUGGAGUUUCCAUUGUCAAUAUUAUAUAUUAUCUUAUUUAAGAAUGCAUUGGACACCUAGCUGUUAAGGACAUAGUCCUUAGAACCUUCUAGAGACAAGUUUCUAGAACCUUCUAGAGACAAGCUUCUAGAACCUUCUAGAAGUAAGUCUCUGGAACCUUCUAGAAGCUUCUUAAUUGGUAGAAGAUGUUAGGGACAUAGUCCUUAGAACCUUCUAGAGAUAAGUUUCUAAAACCUUUUAGAAAUAAGUCUCUGAAACCUUCUAGAAGCUUCCUAGUUGGUAGAAGUUGCUUGAGAAGCUUCCUAAAUAGGAGUAUAUAUUGGGAUCGAGGCUGAAGAAUUCUUCAGUCUCGAAAACACAUCUCUUGGAGCUCUAGCUCACCUCUCUAGUGUUGUUCUUGUAUUCAUCUGAUUAAUCUAGGUCUUACCAGUUCUUCUUGAACUUCUUGGUAGAUAUCAAGUCUGUAUUUUGUGUCCGUGACAGUUUGUCGAGAUUUCACUCACCUCAGAUAUCAGAGUUAGUUUCUUCUUUGUUAGAGUAGGGAUUACCGCUUUGCUUGGAAGUGUACUAGCACUUUAGAGGUUGCGGAUUACCCUCCUCUAAACUGAUACUUCUUUUGUUACAAUAUUGGAGUCUUAUUCUUCUUGGAGAGAGUGGAUUACCCCUUUUUUUUGAAGCUCUUAAGGCAUUUUAGAGGUUGCGGAGUACCCUCCUCUAAACCAAUAUUGUCUUUUUGUAGAGUCAUUUCUGUCCUUCUCUUAGAAUGGUCGGGGGCCAAGACAUUAGUAUGACGGAAAGUUCAGAGUCCAAGUUAGAUGCUAUCAUGAAUGCCCUCGCUACGUUAUCACCAAGAACUGCAGAGAUUGAAGGAGUCGUGGCAAGGCUUCAUAAUGAUGGAGCAUUUGGGAUGGCAAAAUCUAGGUUGCACCAGCCUCAAACUUCUACACUUGGAGAAGUAACUUUGCCUCAGGUUCGACAAGCACCGCUAGUUCUACAACAUAAGGAACCCCGAGUUAGCCUUCCGGACAAGUUCGAUGGUACGCGUUCCAAGUUUCGAGGAUUCGUCAACCAAAUCAGGUUGAUAAUAGUUUUACAGCCUGAACGCUAUCCAACGGAGGAGUCACGUGUUGGGCUUGUUGGAACCUUACUUACAGGACAAGUUCUAUCAUGAUUUGCUCCUUUGUUUGAGAAAUGAUCGUCCAUACUAAACAACUUUGAAACCUUUUUGGAGGCAUUUGCGGAAGCAUUUGGUGAACACGACAAGGUUCGAUGGACUACAACAAAGAUCCGAUCACUACGACAAGGGAUGCGUUCUACAUCAGUCUAUGCAUCGGACUUCAGGCAAUUAGCAUGCGACAUCAAUUAGAACGAAGAAGCGUUGAUGAGUCAAUUCUAUUGGAGUUUAAGGGACGAUGUGAAGGAUUUGUUGUUAACUCUUCCUAAUCCGUAAACGCUCAACGAAGCUAUUAGCCAAGCUGUGAAGUGCGAUAACCACCUAUUCCAACGUCGCCAAGACCAACGUUCAAGACAACAUACGGUUCGCCACACCCCAACUAUGUCGGCAAGCAGCGUGAAUUCACAUUUAGAGGUAGAAGAUAUGUAAAUUGAUGCGGUACGUGUCAAAUCUCUUACUCUAGAAGAAAAAAAGCGGCGUAUGGAGGAAGGUCUAUGCUUGUAUAGCGGUGAAGAAGGCCACAAAGUUGGAAAUUGCCCCAAGAAGCAAAAUCGACUUAUUAUCAAGACUAUGAGUGCGUUAAUUCAGGAAAACGAGGAUGCCCAGUCACAAUAGGAACCGUGCGACUGGACAGUGAAAUAUCACAACAACAACCAGGUUCCUUUCUUUCCGUUCAACCUGUCCUUUGUUUUACAAUCCUUUUGCUUAUUGGCCAUCAGAAACUUAGAACCUUAGCAUUAUUAGAUUCAGGAGCAUCUGCUUGUUUUUUAGACGAAGAAUUUGCAAAGCAUCAUAAGAUCCCUUUAGUACUAAAAUCCAAACCUGUUCACGUUGAGGUCAUAGAUGGACGACCUUUAUUGUCUGGUAGUGUCACCCAUGAAUCAGAACCUAUAGAAGUGACGUUUAAGGACCAUAGUAGUCAUAUUAUUUUCAAUAUUAUUAGAACCCCAUCUAAUCCUGUUAUUCUUGGUCUUUCAUGGUUAGAAAAGCAUAAUCCAUCUAUAGAUUGGAAGUUGCUGAAGAUGACCUUUCUCACAAAACCACCUAAGAGCAAGCUUAGUAGAAAACCUUGAAUAGAGAAAUCCUUAUUUAUUGGAGUAAGAGCAUUUAUAAGAUUGUCCAAGGGAGGCACACCGUUUGUCAUUUAUGCGGCUCCAACUACCGGGGAGAAGAUCUCGACAGCAAGUAUUCCGGAGCAAUAUAAGGAUUUUAAAGACGUGUUUCAAAAGAAAAAUGUUGACAUGCUACCGGAACUAAGACCAUAUGAUUGCGCCAUAGACUUACAGGAAGGAACACAACCGCCUUUUGGCCCAAUCUACAAUCUAUCGUAGAUGGAGUUGGCAGAGUUGCGAAAGUACAUCGACGAGAAUCUAGCCAAGAACUUCAUCCGUCAUUCAAAAUCGUCAACUGUAGCACCCAUCUUAUUUGUGAAGAAGAAAGAUGGCUUGUUGCGGAUGUGCAUGGACUAUCGAGGCCUCAAAAAGGUAACAAAGAAGAAUCAUUACCCAUUACCCUUGAUUUCUGGUCUCUUAGAACAACUUGGACGUGCAAGGAUCUUUACAAAAAUUGAUCUAAGGGGAGCUUACAACCUCGUAUGAAUCAAGGAAGGAGAUGAGUGGAAGACAGCGUUCCGUACAAGGUAUGGCCAUUUUGAAUAUAAUGUCAUGCCCUUUGGUCUUACCAAUGCUCCAGCGGUCUUUCAACUUAUGAUGAAUGACAUUUUCCGAGAGUACCUUGACAAUUUUGUUGUCAUCUAUUUGGAUGAUAUUUUGAUAUUCUCCAAAAAUGAGGAAGUGCAUGAAAAACACGUUCGUUUGGUAUUGAAGAAACUACGCGAGCGGGGACUAUAUGCCAAGUUAGAGAAGUGUUUAUUUCACCAAAUAGUGAUGGAGUUUUGGGGUACAUUGCGACUAUGGAAGGCUUGAAGAUGGAUCACAAGAAGGUGGAAGCAAUCGUGUCCUGGGAGGUUUCGAAGACGGUUAGAGAUGUAUAAUGCUUUCUUGGUUUUGCCAACUUCUAUCGGAUCUUUAUGAAGAAUUACUCUCAAGUUGCUGCUCCUCUCACUCGGUUGACAUGCAAGGAUAAGCUGGAAUGGGGACCUCUAGCAGAGAAGGCGUUUCAAAACCUGAAGACCGCAUUUACUACGGCUCCAAUCUUGAUACAUCCAGACUUUACAAAGGCCUUCUAUUUAGAAACUGAUGCUUUGGAUUUUGCUUUGAGAGCUGUACUCUCACAAAUGGGAGAAGAUAAGAAGCUCCAUCCGGUUGCAUUCUAUUCUCGAAAGUUCUCUGCUGCUGAAAUCAAUUAUGAGAUCCACGAUAAGGGACUUCUUGCUAUAGUGGAUUCUUUCGAAGAAUGGCGUCACUUUCUUGAAGGAGCUGCACAUCCAGUAACCGUAUAUACGGAUCACAAGAAUUUGGAGUAUUUCAUGAUGGCUCGAGUUCAAAUCGACGUCAAGCUCGAUGGAGCAUGUUUCUAUCUAGGUUCGAUUUUAUUAUCACUUAUCGACUUGGAAAGCAGCAAGGACUAUCUGAUGCCUUAUUGAGGAGAUCGUAUCUUGUACCAAAGGCUGGAGAAGCAGUGUUUGAUCAACAAUGUACGACAUUGUUGAAGCCAGAGCAAUUUCAGCUUUGCGUUACUAUUAUGCCAAUUGAUGCUGACUUCUUGAAUCAGGUACGUGCCGUAACCAUUGAAGAUUUAGUAGCCAUUGAUAUUAAGAAGCGUGCCAAUGACGACAAGUUCAAGGUGGAGGGAGAUCUUUUAUACUUUGAAGAGCGGUUAUAUAUCCCAAAAGGAUCAGCACGACACCGAGUUCUUCAAUCUCGCCACGAUUUUCCAGCUGCGGGACAUUUUGGAUUCAACAAGACCUUGGAGCUUAUUUCUCGAGAUUUUUGGUAGCCCCAAAUGUGGAAGGAUGUGAAAGAUUUUGUCCUCUCUUGCAACAUCUAUUGAAGAUCCAAGAAUCCUCGACAUCGCCCUUAUGGACUCCUACAGCCAUUGCCGAUUCCACGUCGACCAUGGUCUUCAAUUUCCAUGGACUUCAUCACGGACCUGCCAUCAUCAAACUCAUUUGACAGCAUCUUUGUCAUGGUAGAUCGGCUUACAAAAUUGGCACACUUUGUCCCUUGCAAGAAGACAUCGUCCAGUGAAGUCACAACAAGGCUCUUUCUCGAUAAUGUGUAUCGAUAUCAUGGACUACCAGAUGAUAUCGUAUCAGAUCGAGGAACCCAGUUCGCAUCAAAGUUUUAGAGAUCUCUCUUUGAGAUACUGAAGGUGGAUAUCAAGCUUUCUUUGGCUUUUCAUCCUCAAACUGACGGUCAAACGGAACGGGUGAACCAAGUCUUGGAAUAAUACUUACGAUGCAGCAUCAACUAUGAGCAAGACGAUUGGACCACAUAUCUGCCGCUAGCCGAGUUUGCAUAUAACAACACCCUCCAUGUGUCGACUCAAUACACACCAUUCUUUUUCAACUAUGGGUAUCAUCCAAAGCUUGAUUUAUUGAGUCCAUCAACAAAUAACAAUCCAGCAGUUGAAGGAUUUGCGAAACAACUAUCAGAGCUUCAAAAUACGUUGAAGCUUCAAUUACAAUCCGCUCAAGAAUCCUACAAGGCGUCUGCAGAUAGAUUUCGGAAUCAAGCAGCUACUUUCAAAAUUAGAGAUAAAGCAUGGCUUCUUCGACGGAAUAUCAAGACCAAGCGACCAUGUGAUAAGUUGGACUAUCGAAGAUUGGGACCAUUUAUCAUCCAAAAGCAAAUCAAUCCAGUGGCGUACCGUUUGGAAUUACCGGCUUCUAUGAAGAUACAUCCAGUCCAAUUUUGCAUACAAUUGUUAAUGUAAUACCUUUGUAAGUUGGAUUCGGCUGAAAUUUUAAGAAAACUUCCAAAAACUACAUUGAUAUUACUUGGCCACCAACUUGAAAGGUGAAGCAAAAAUUCUAGUAGUCCUUUCUCUUUCUCCAACUAUUAACUUCAAUUUAAAUUUGGUAUAUAGCUUGAUCUUUAAGUCUUUCAAUACCAUGCCAAAUUUCACCUUGAUCCGAUUGGUAGAUUUUUAGAUAUCAUAGAAAUCCUAUCUGACCUCAAGCUGCCAACUUUUGAAACCCUCUUAUGCUAAAAACCAGAUAUAAUCCAAAUAGUAUCAAAUUUUGAACUGUAGAUAUUACACAAAAUGCACAAACUAGUAAAAAUUGCUAAUCCUAAUUAUAUUAUAUAAAAUCCAAAUCACCAAUACAAACCCUAAUUUUGAACAAUAAUUGCCAAAUAUUCCAAAAACUCUACAAAAAAAAUGCUUCUGCCUUUGAAAAGAAUUUGAAGCUACCUCUCAAAUUCUAAUCUUGGAACUUCAAAUGCAUCUCUAAUUUACCUUUGGCGGUCGUUUUUGUCACUAGAAGUUUAAUUUGGACCGUGUCUCACAACCGAUCAACCCUAGGGUAUCAUUAUAAUCUAUCCUAAGGAUUUUUUAGCCCAAUCCUAUCUUUAAUUUGAUCCUAAUAUCAACCAUAUCAACUAUUUAUCUUUUCUAUCCCAAUUUUAACAAUUAAUGGUCUUUCUAAGGUAGUUAAAGAGUUUUUCUAUCCUAGAAGAUAAAAAUAGUAACUAAUUUUUAUCUACUUGCUAUUAAGAUAAGAAAAUAGGCUAAGAGACUUUCAUAAAAGCCUUAUUAAAAUAUUUUGAAUUAUUUUUAAAAUAAUAUAAUAGAAUAUUAAUUUAAAAAUCAUUUUUAGUCAUAUUUUCAUGAUAUAAUCAUAUCACAACACGACACCAUUAUUAUUUGAUUUCUUCGCCUCUAACCAAAUCUGUGUUUUUGACAUCUUUCAAAUAAUUGAUUGUUGCUGUCACGGCCAUAAUCAUAUAGCUAAUAAUUACAUAUAGAAAUAGGUAGAAGUAAGUAAAAGUAGAUAAAAGUAAGUUAAUUGUAUAAUAUUUAAUAUAGAAGCUUCCUAGAAACUUCCUAGACACUGCUUUGACUUCAUAAGUGUCUUUAAUUGACUUUUUGGAUUAGAAACGUGGUCAACAAGUUGGCCAUGUGCCACACAUGUUGUUAGCUUAAAGAUCAAGCUAACUAUGUGGCCCACACGUAGAAAAACUUGCCUUGUAAGUCAAGGCAUGUGUCCUACAAAGUCAACACAUAUUGGAGGUCCUAUAGAACGUCGCCACGUAGCCCCUAGUUAGAUAGUAUAUAUAGAGACAAGAGUGAAGGCUUCUUCACUCUUAUCAACUCCUUUCUUGCUUCUAGUCUAGUUUCAAGGGUCUCUAGUUUUCUUGUAUUUUGGCAAUAGCUAUUCUAGUUUCUUUCUUAAUAUACAUAUUUCUAUUUUGUCCUAUUUCUUUUUGAGAAAAGUCUCACUUACUCUUUAGCUUUCAUCGAGUUCUUGUCCUUGACAGAUUGACAAGAGUACACUUACAAUAUCAGAGCUUUGUUUUUUUUUGAGUAAGAGUGGAUUACCCCUUUCUCUUGACAAGACAUAAGCGUAUUAGAAGUUUGCGGAUUACCCACUUCUAAGCUGAUAUUGUUCUUAGUAUCUUCUUUGUUAUCAAGUCUUUCUUUUCUUUUGUCUUCAGCAAUAUCAAACAAAUUUUUCUUCUUAGUGUCAGUAUGGCAGAGCUUGUUGAAAUGAAGAGUGCAAUGGCACAAAUGCAAGAGCAAAUGAGGGAGUUAAUACUUGCGAUGCAUCAACUCAAUUCACCAACACAGGAAAGAACAAGAAUAGCAGAAAGUGGAGAUAUAGAGAUGAUCGGAGCUGCUUCAACAUCUACAACAAAUCACGUUCCUUCUCCAAUUGUACAACACCCUAUAAGCACUAGAGAACCAAGAAUUGCCUUACCCGAGAAAUUUGAUGGUACGAGAUCAAAGUUUCGAAGGUUCAUCAAUCAAGUACAAUUGGCAAUUGAACUUCAACCGCAAAGCUAUCCUACUCCAGGAUCACAAGACAGGUUUAUUGGCACUCUACUUUCUGGUUUUGCAUUAUCGUGGUUUUCGUCUUUUCUUGAACAACAAAAUCCAAUAUUGGACAAUUAGGAAGCUUUUUUGGUGGAGUUUCGAUCUAUGUAUGGUGAACACGAUGCAACUCGUGUUGCAACAAAUAAGAUCCGAUUUCUGCGACAAGAAAAUCGCUCAGUAACAGUAUAUGCUUCACAAUUUCGACAACUUGCAAUUGACAUCAAGUGGGAUGAUGCUGCACUCAUCAGUCAAUUUCUUUAUGGAUUGCAAUACGAAGUAAAGAAAUUGAUGCUCAACUUACCUGAUCCUCAAACUUUGAGUCAAGCAAUCGAUUUUGCGGUAAAAUGUGAUAAUCGACUUUUCAAAUUUCGAUCCGAGAAUCAUUCACGGGAACCUCAACGUUAUUACUCAAUGGCAACAUCAACAUCUUUGCCAAACGUACAUUCGGAAGUAGAAGACAUGCAAAUUGACGCGGUACGUUUUAAACCUCUAACUGAGCAAGAAAAGAUUCGUCGUCGUCAAGAAGGAUUAUGUUUAUAUUGCGGAGAACCUAAGCACACUGCUCAACAUUGUCCAAAGAAACGACGCUACUAUAAAAUGAGGGGUACGACGGUCAAAGAAGACAACAUGUCGGAAAACGGAUUCGUCCAGCUAUAAUAGAGACCGUGCAGCUGGAACCUUGUACAACUCCUAAUGAAGGUCCUAUCCUCUCCUCAGAACCCUCUCCUUGUUUUAUAAUAGACUUAUAUUUAGGACCUAAGAAUUACAAAGCCUCUGCUUUAUUAGAUUCGGGAGCCUCAGUAUGUUUUUUAGAUGAACAAUUUGUUAAAAGUCGUAAAAUACCCUUUGUAUAGAAACCUAAACCAGUACAUGUAGAAGUCAUAGAUGGUCGUCCCUUGUCUUCUGGAGAUGUCACUCAUGAAAUUCAUCCUAUAAAAGUAACAAUAGACGGUCAUGAUAGCUACAUAGCUUUUAACAUAAUUAAAUCCCCGUCCAAUCCAGUUAUUUUAGGUUUAUCCUGGUUAGAAAAAUAUAACCCUCGAAUAGAUUAGAAUUCGCGUAAACUUGACUUUUUUCAAAGCGUUAUUAAUAGUUCUACCAACCAAGUAAAAAAUUAUAAGUCUAGUAUAGUAAAACCCGUACUGAUAGGUGCAAAAGCAUUUAUACACACAGCAAAAGAAGGAUCAACUUUUGCUAUUUAUGCUGCACCUAUUUCUGAAAACGUAAAGACUUCAAGUGGCAUUCCAAGUCAAUAUCAGGAGUAUCAAGACGUUUUUGAGAAAAAGAAUGCAGAUAUUCUUCCUGAGCAUCGUCCAUAUGAUUGUUCAAUCGACCUCAAGGAAGGAACUCAGCCACCAUUUGGACCAAUUUACAGUUUAUCGCAAGAUGAGAUGGCUGAACUCAAGACAUAUAUUGACGAGAAUUUAGCGAAGAAUUUCAUACGCCAUUCAAAAUCUCCAGCAGGAGCUCCAAUUCUAUUCGUAAAGAAAAAAGAUGGAUCUUUACGAAUGUGUGUUGAUUAUCGAGGACUCAACAAGAUCACAAUCAAGAACAGGUAUCCAUUACCUUUGAUAUCAGGACUCCAUGACCAGUUGAAUCAAGCUAAGAUCUAUACAAAAAUAGAUCUAAGAGGAGCAUAUAAUCUAGUACGGAUCAAAGAAGGAGAUGAAUGGAAGACUGCGUUUCGAACCAGGUAUGGACAUUUCGAAUAUAAUGUCAUGCCCUUUGGACUCACGAAUGCACCAGCUGCUUUUCAACAUCUCAUGAAUGAUGUAUUUCGUGAAUUCUUAGACAAUUUUGUCGUCUCUUAUCUAGACGAUAUCCUGAUCUAUUCCAAGAACGUCAAAGAACCUGAAAUACAUGUUCGUCAAGUAUUACAAAAAGUUCGCGACGCAGGAUUGUACGCCAAGAUGGAAAAGUGUGUAUUUCACACUACUCAAGUUGACUUUUUAGGAUACAUCAUUUCAAAUGAUGGUCUCAUGAUGGAUUCUAAGAAAGUCCAAACAAUCGUGGAUUGGAAGAUUCCAAGGACGGUAAGAGAUGUCCAAUGUUUCUUGGGAUUUGCCAAUUACUAUCGGAUCUUCAUCAAAGAUUUCUCACGAGUUGCAACUCCACUUACACGCUUGACUAGUAAAGAUAAAUUUCAAUGGAAUCAAGAAGCGGAAGCAGCAUUUGAAGCCUUGAAGACAUCGUUUGUCUUUGCACCAGUCUUAUAUCGUGUUGACUUUUCUAAGGCAUUUUUUAUGGAAACAGAUGCAUCAGAUUUUGCCUUGGAUGCAGUUUUAUCACAAAUGGGAACAGAUGACAAACUCCAUCCGAUAGCUUUUCAUUCAAGAAAAUUCUCAGCAGCCGAGAUCAAUUAUGAGAUCCACGAUAAAGAACUUCUUACGAUCGUGGAUUCCUUUCAAAAAUAGCGUCAUUAUCUAGAAGGCACUUCUAGUCCAGUCACUGUGUAUACAGAUCACAAGAACCUCGAGUAUUUCAUGUCAACACGCAUGUUGAAUCAUCGUCAAGCUCGUUGGAGUAUGUCUUUGUCAAGAUUCGAGUUCAUUAUCACUUACCGGCCAGGAAAACAACAAGGUUUAUCUGAUGCCCUAUCUAGACGUUCUUAUUUUGCACCAAAAGAAGGAGAUACAGCUUUUGAGCAACAAAGAACGGUCCUCUUGAAACCGGAGCAAUUUCAUCUCCGAGCAAUGAAAUCAACAUUGACGGUUGAUUCAACUUUUCUCAAGCAAAUCCAGUCCAGUAUGUCCUCAGACCCUCUUGUUUAUGAUAUCGAGAAUAAUUCUUCCAAGUCUCAUGAUCCUUCUAAGUUUGAGUUCAAGAAUAAUCUAUUAUAUUUUGAACGACGCCUAUAUGUUCCAGAAGGAGAAGCACGUUUACGUGUUCUUCAAACACGUCAUGACUUUCCAGCAGCAGGGCACUUUGGAUAUAAUAAGACUUUGGAACUCAUAUCAAGAGAUUUUUGGUGGCCACAAAUGUGGAAGUCAGUCAAAGACUUUGUACAAUCAUGUGAUAUUUGUUCAAGAUCAAAAAUUCCUCGUCAUCGACCUUACGGACUUCUUCAGCCAUUACCUAUCCCAGAACAACCAUGGUCUUCUGUUUCUAUGGAUUUCAUCACAGAUCUUCCAAACUCAAGAUCUUAUGAUUCUAUAUUUGUGAUAGUAGAUCGUUUCACCAAGAUGGCACAUUUUGUGCCAUGUACAAAAUCUAUCACAGGUGAAGAAACAGCUAAGCUUUUCAUUGAUAAUAUCUAUCGCUAUCAUGGAUUACCUAAAGAUAUCAUAUCGGAUAGGGGAACUCAAUUUGUGUUAAGAUUUUGGAGGACCCUUUUCAAGAUUUUAAAAGUGGACAUAAAGCUAUCUUCGGCUUUCCAUCCUCAAACUGAUGGACAAACAGAGCGCGUAAACCAAGUCUUGGAGCAAUAUUUAAUGUGUACUAUCAACUACCAACAUGAUGAUUGGACAACCCUUCUGCCAUUGGCAGAGUUUGCUUAUAAUAAUACGGUACAUUCUUCCACGCAACAAACACCUUUCUUUGCCAAUUAUGGCUAUCAUCCACGACUUGAUACUUUUGAUUUUUCAAAAGUUGAUAAUCCUGCAGCAGAAGAUAUGGCAAAUCGGUUGUCAGAGUUACAUGCAAUAAUGAAGACCGAAUUGAAGGAAGCUCAAGAACGACAAAAAAUAAACGCAGAUCUAUAUCAUAAGGAGCAACCACAAAUCAACGUGGGUGAUAAGGUAUGGCUACUUCGUCGCAAUAUCAAGACUACUUGACCUUGUGACAAGUUGGACUAUCGUAGGCUUGGCCCCUUUUCUGUUUCUGAACAGAUCAACCCAAUUGCAUAUCGGUUACAUCUACCGGAGUCAAUGAAGAUCCAUCCUGUAUUCCACGUAUCUCUUCUUGAACCAUAUAAGACAGUGGAUAUACAAGGAAGAAGACAAAUGCCACCGCCUCCUAUAGAAGUAGAUAAUAAUGAAGAAUUUGAGGUGGAAGAGAUAUUAGACUCAAGGCGGCGCCGAAAUAAGCUGGAAUAUCUUGUUCAUUGGCGCGGAUAUGAUAUUAGUGAACGCACAUGGGAGCCAUCCAGGAAUCUAGCAAAUGCAUCAACUAAAGUCAAAGUUUUUCAUCAACGACAUCCAUCAAAACCAAGAUGAAAAUCUCUCUUAUAAAAGAGACAAGAUUGAGGCAAGAUAACAUUCAAUUUCCUAUCCUUGUUUGUAACUUCUUUACAUUUGUGACGCUAAUUAGAUGGAGAGCCAACAACCAGCGGAUUCAACUCAAGAACCUUCGUUUGCUGACCUGCCGGAUGAGACAUUACGAUUGUCACAACCUUCAAGACGACGCAAUCGAGAUGAAGAUCUUCAAGAACGACAUGUUCUUCCUCGAACAGAUGGUGAGAUACAACGCGUUUGGUAUCACGAUUUGGGAAGGGACUCCCGAUGUUUGGUGAUUUUGCUAGAGGUAGGAACAACUCCUGAUGGUGUUCCGAAUAUUCUAUUCGAAGAAAGUUAUGAAGGCCUCAAUAAUGAUCAAAUAACUGGGUGGUCUUCCCGCCCUGGUAUGGGACACUACCGAUGGUUGAGAGGCCCUAUCAAUCAUCUUCGAAGAGAACAGAGACUAGAGUAUGUGGCGAAUAUAAUUCGUCGCAUCAUAGAUUUCCUCAACAUAUGAUGACCGCUCCUCGUGGAACUCGUCUCUAGAAGGGGGGGUAAUGUCACGGCCAUAAUCAUGUAAGCUAAUAAUUACAUAUAGAAAUAGGUAGAAGUAAGUAAAAGUAGAUAAAAAUAAGUUAAUUGUAUAAUAUUUAAUAUAGAAGCUUCCUAGAAACUUCCUAGACGCUGCUUUGACUUCAUAGGUGUCUUUAAUUGACUUUUUGGAUUAGAAACGUGGUCAACAAGUUGGCCAUGUGCCACACAUGUUGUUAGCUUGAAGAUCAAGCUAACUAUGUGGCCCACACGUAGAAAAACUUGCCUUGUAAGUCAAGGCAUGUGUCCUACAAAGUCAACACAUAUUGGAGGUCCUAUAGAACGUCGCCACGUAGCCCCUAGUUAGAUAGUAUAUAUAGAGACAAGAGUGAAGGCUUCUUCACUCUUGUCAACUCCUUUCUUGCUUCUAGUCUAGUUUCAAGGGUCUCUAGUUUUCUUGUAUUUUGGCAAUAGCCAUUCCAGUUUCUUUCUUAAUAUACAUAUUUCUAUUUUGUCCUAUUUCUUUUUGAGAAAAGUCUCACUUACUCUGUAGCUUUCAUCGAGUUCUUGUCCUUGACAGUUGCAUGGAAUCACUUGAGCAAUAAAUUGUUCCAAAGAUUCUACCUUCGACAUUGUCAUUAAUAAAUCUUUGAUAUUAUCCUUCAACCUUUGUUGAAAUUGAUUGAUAAGGGCUUUGUCAUUCCAGUCCAUGUUAAAAAUAAGGUUUUGGAAUUCAACAGCAUAUAUAGUGGCUGACCGUGAUCCUUAUUGUAAAGAUAAGAGCUUAGUCUUUGGUACUCUUUCUCAAUCACUUUCUCCAAAUGUGGCCGUAAAUACUUCUAGGAAUGAAUUCAAAUUAUAAAAGAGGCUAGAAUCUUUUUCCAUUGAAAGUACAAAUCAUAAGAGAACACUUCUUGAUUGAAGUGUGCCUAUGAUUUCAACUUGAAUAAAUCCAUUGGAGUAUUAAAAAAGAUGGAACCUAAGAUAGAACUUGACUUGUUAUAGAAAUCCUUAAAAUUUUGAACUUCUUCCAUCAAACUUCUUCCAUCAAACUUCUUAUGCAUACUAAUCUUUAUCUCCAUCAUAUUUGUAGAAGAAAAAUUCCUUAGAUUUGGUUAUGAAGUCUAACUACUUGCUUCCUUCAAUUACACAACUUCUUGUAGCAAACUCUGAACAUCUUCCAUAGGUGUAGACAUAGUACCUCCAUGAUUCAUAUUAGAAAUACGUGAGUUUUCUAUUCUUAGAGUAUUAAUAAGCUUAUAAAGAUCUACAAUAGUUGCAAAUCUAUUCUUACUUCCACUGAGAGUAGCAUCCAUAAUCUUUUUUUUUCAUAGACAAUUCAAAUAAAUUCAAAAAGUUAAAUUAGAUGAAGGUAAUCUAUAACCUCUAAUAUCAAAUAAAACUUUCUAUAAAUAAAGAUGAUGUACUCUCUUCAAGGAAAAUAUCAGAAAAUAAGAUUUUUUGUUUAAAGGUGGAUAGUCCACAACCUUCAAAAGACAAUAAUAGAAGUGAGACAAUCCACUUACUUUUAAAACAAGAUAGAAAUAAUAAAUUAGUACUAAUUUCAAAAUGUCAUGGAGAUAAAUCUUGAAGAAAAGAAAUCCUUAAUACACUCUUGUAUGAUUCAAAGAAACUAAAAAGUUACUCAAAGAUGAUAUAAUAUUGAACUAGAAUGGCUAUUGUAAAAAAAAAAAAAGACUAAAAAAUCUUGAAAUAAGACUAAAGACUAAAGAAGUGUUGAGAAGAGUGAAGAAGGCUUCACUCUUACCUCCAUAUAUAUUCUUAAAUAGGAGUUAUGUCGCAAUGUCCUAUUGAAUCUCUAAAGCAUGUUGACUUUGCAAGACAUGCAUCUUAGCUUGCAAGACAAGUUUUUUUAUAUGUGCGCCACAUAAUUAGCUUAUUUUACAAGCUACCAAUAUGAGAUUAACUUGUUGACCAAGUUUCUAACUUUCGAAUCAACUACAGAUAUAUAUAAAGUCAAAGUAGUCUCUAUGGAGCUUCUAAGAAGCUAUUCUAAAAGGUAUUAUGAAAUUAAUCUAUUUUUAUGUACUUUUACUUACUUCUAUCUAGUCAUAUAUGUAUUUACUAGAGUAUCUAUGUAUAUCCAUGACGUAUUGUUAGAGUUGUUGAGCUUACAAAUAAAUCAUUCUUUCAAAUCUAAGUUUUUUAGAUUGACACUCAACAUAAGUCUUAAUGACUUUAGAGAUGUAAGUCGUUGAAAUUCCAAACUUGUUCCCUCUUACCAUCUAUUUCAAAUCAUAUAAUCUUAACAGAAUUUUUGCAUCUACAAGAUGAGAUCUUUCCUUGCAAUAUUCAUUCCAAACUAUUCAUAUCUAUUGAUCAAUGUAUGGAAUAAUAAAUUUUGGAUACUUCUUAUUAAAUAAUCAAACUUUAUUAUUAAACAAUUUAAAUAUCCUAAAAUUAUUUUUGAUGUAUGUCCAUUUUUUAAAAAAUAUUUAUAUAAAAAAUUUCAAUUGAAGUAUCUUUUUGAUGAACAAAAUUAAUAUCGAAUUUAAUAAUAGUCUCAAAUGUGGCAAUCAUGACAUCUCCUUUCAAGCAUUGAAUUAAAUAUUCUUGUGAUUCACUAUCAAAGACAAGAAUCUUAAAGAACCAAAAAUUCAAUUGAAUUUUUUUGUGUAAUUCAAAAAGAAUAGAUAUUUAUUCAAAACUAAUAUAAUAUUGAAACUAGAAUUGCUAUUGCAAAAGAUAAGAAGACUAGAAAGUCUUGAAAUAAGAUUAAAAACCAUAAAGAUGUUCACAAAGAUGAAGAAGGCUUCACUCUUACCUUCAUAUAUACUAUCUAACUAAAAGCUACAUAGCAAUGUUCUAUAGGACCUCUAACACGUGUGCAAAUUGCAAGACACAUGUCUAACUUAUAAGACAAGUUUCAUAUAUGUGCACCACAUAAUUAGCUUGUUUUAUAAGCUACUAAUAUAUAUGACGCAUGGCUAACUUAUUGGCAAAGUUUCUAACCUACCAAUCAAUUAUGAACACGUAAAAAAUCAAUUAAGAGUCUAUAAAGCUUCCAAAAUGCUUUACUACAAGAUAAUAUCAAAUCUACCUGUAUUUAUCUUAAUACUUCUUAUGUAAGUAAAUAAGUAUGUAUAUGAUGUUCAAAUUUAAAUUAAUAAUAUCAAUUAGAAAAAAAUACUAAAAGAUCAAAUUGUCGAUCUUGAACCACUUUUAUGUCAUAAUCAUCAUUUUUUCCUUUAAUAUCUAAAAGUUGUGAGAAGUUGAAGUCAAUUUCAUCAUCUGUAGAGAUAUCAUUGAGAUUAAGGACCUCAAAGACUUUCUAAAUGGUUUCGAUAAUACUCCUAUCUUCUAAGCUCUAAAAUAUAGUAUCUACUUCACCUAUACAAAUCAUAUAGAAAGUGGUUAAUAUUCUAUAGAAUUAUUAUUUUAAAAUAAUAUUUAAUUUAUUGGUAGCAAUCUCUACCAUUAUAUUCUCACAUUAGUCAUUGCUAAUAUUUUAAAUUGCAACUAAGUAGUGGUAGGCCCCACCAUAAAUUUGCCCAAAUAAUUACCAUUUCCUACUUAUUUCUUAUCCAUUUUUCACCGCCAAUUUCUUCUUAGUAAUAAAAAAUGGUCUUUUUCCAUAUCCAUUUGUAAUUUUUGUCCAUCCAUUUUUCACCACCAAUUUUCCCUUGGUGGUGAAAAAUGGUCACUAUUUAUGCCCAUUUUUUUAUUACUUCCAUCCCUUUCACACAAAACCAUGUCUCGGUAGAGACAAUCACUAUCCAUUUUCCCAUGCUUAAAUUUUCCUUUCCUUUUCCCAUUCCUAUGAUUGCCACGACCAUUUCCUAUGAGGGGACACUACUCCACUCAUAAUACACUCUGUAGGCUUCGGCAGGCCUCCUUGUCCUACUCCACAAAGCUACUUCUUAGACAGAUUCUGCUGUGGAAGACCACCCAUCCCUGCUAUUCCACUGCGCAGCGCUGCUGGUGCGAGGAGAGGGUGACGGACUCGUAGCCACCCUCCCCUAUAGGGGCUGGCACCCUACGCGAUCGCUGCGUUUCUUACACCAUCCCCAUCCCCCACAAUUCCCGCAUGCUACCUGUCCCCGGCGCUUUCCUCGCGCUCCCUUGCUCGCCCCGUCAUGUUCCCUUCGCGCUCUCUUCUCGUUCCCCUGUCCGCGCCGCUGGUUUUUCUCGACAUCCUCUGCCCGCCCUCUGCGUUCCCCAUGAGUUCCCAAUAGGCCCUGUAACGGCCAAGAUUGAAAUUGGAAAUCUGACGGCUCAGAUGUCUCUAGACAAUCGAUUGAAGAAAGUGGUUUCUGCUACACAUAGUGACGAGGGUAGCCGAAGGCAAACCUCUCGGGGACGCGAUGGAAAAUCGCGACUACCGCUAAUAACGGAAAAUCCGUGGCAUGCUGUGAGCAGCGUCACUUGCGCGGAUGCACCGCCGUGGAGGAGGCGCUGCCAAGAAUCAUUAUAACUCGCCCUCAACGCGGCCACUACAAGCCGCCGUCGCUGUCCCAUUCGUGUGCGUCUGGCUAUAUGCCUGUGUGUGUGUCCCUGUCCUUGUCUAUGCGCAGUCAGCGUCUAUCCUCGUCUCACUAAGAAGGCUAUUAUGUGCGUGCCUGAAGGUCCCCAUAAUUGUGGAACGUGAAUCCGAGCACACCGGUCCAAAUUCAACUCCUGCAUGUGUGGAUUGUAGGGCCCGAUUCGAUGACGACGACGUUUGGAAAUUCAAACGCGGUUUGUAAUUGAAAAUUGUGACUCCCGAGGCCGAGGUAUAAAACCAGCCAAGGGAGAUUUUUUGACCUUAAGGCUAAAUGUUUAUUAUUUUUAUUCAAAAAUAAAAUGGAUAUAUAUGUAUAUAUACACACACAAAUUGUGAAAAUAUUAUAUAUUUAUUUUUGAUAAAUUCCAACUAUUUUGAAACUUCUAAAUAUUUAAUUCUUAUAUUUAUUUCUAUGUUACAUGAAACUAUGUCAAUUAGUAAACAAUUUUUAAAUUGAGAUUUAGUUCUAAAAUACUAUUGAUUUUAAGUCAAUUAUUUUAUUUAUUUAUAUUUUAUAUUUAAUUUUCUAUUGCAAGUAAAUCAAAUAUAUAAGAAAAAUAAAAUUUCUUUGAUAUAGGAUCUAUUUUAUUAUUUUAAGACAUGUAUUCAAAAUGAUCAUGUACUGACUUGUAUUAAAUUAUAAAUUAUAAAAUAAUUUAAAUAUUAUAAUAUAAUAAUAGAAGUUAAAAUUUAAAAUUCUAUUAUUAUCUUUAUUCUAUCAUAAUAAGUUAAAAAUAUAUAUAAUUCUAUUUAAUCUUAUAUUAAUUCGUAACUAUUUUAUUUUUUAAUAACUUUUUAAUAUUAAAUCUAUUCAUUUUUAUAAAUUUUUCUUCAAUAAUAAAAUUAGAAAAUAUGAUAUAAAAUUAUUUAUACACUUUGUAAUUAGAUCAUAAUUGUAACUGAGACUUUAAAACAAUGCCUAAAGUUGUUUUUUUUUUUGUAAAAAAAAGAUUUUAAAAAGUUAAAUUAUAUUAACAUUUAAAAAUUAUAUUAAAUGUUAAAAAGAUAAAUAUAUUAUCAUUUGCAAAGAACAUCAAAUAUUAUUUUUUGUAGAGGUAUUAAAAAUAAGUUUUAAACUAUUAAAAUCAAUAAAAGUCUACAAGAAUAAUAUGAUAUAUCUUUUUAAAAUUUGAAAACUUUAUAUUUCUUGUUAAUCAACUUUAUAGUGUAUUUUGGAUAUUUUCUAUUUUCUAUUUUUACUAUUUUUAUUAUCACUUUAAAAAAAAUUGCAUCACUAAGUUAUUCUUAAUAGUUGCAUAAGUACUUGGAUCAUUUGGACUACUAAACCAUUUAACUUUUUAAAACUUAAGUUAAUAAAAUUGAUCUAAAAUUGUUCUAAUUGCUAUUAGCUUAAAUAUUUGUGUGUAAUGGAUUGUUCAAAUGUAUAGGAUUUAAUGUGCCAAGUUAUAUGACAAUAGAUUAAUUAGUGUACUUCCAAAAUAAUUCAAACAAUACAAACUCAUUGCUACUUUCAAUAUAAUUUACUUUAUCAUGAUGAACUUAAUCAACCAUCUAAAUAUUAUUGCCUACAACAUUAAAUUACUUAUACAAAACAAAUUUUAAAUUAAUUUUAAAAAUAAAUAUUCAAAACUAUAAUAUUAUAAUUUUCUUUAAGUGUUUAGGUGUCUAAGUAAUACAAUAAAGUUUUAAAUUUUCUUCCUAGAAAAACGUGAUGGUAUUAAUAUAAACUCAAACAAUUUAAAAUUGUGCCUAGAUAAGGUUCUGGCAACUCUUGUGUGUUACAUGUAUUUGUAAAAAACUUCCUCCUCACUUGCUAUUUCUGAUAUUUAUCUUAGACUUCUGCUUCUCUAGCAUUAGAAAGUCAUGUCACCCUUGCCCGCUUUCACCUCACAACCACGGCAUGAUUACUGAAACUUAUGCUGGAGUAAAUAACUUGAUGAAUAAAAAGAGAAAACAUCAUGUGAAAUACGUAUGCAGUUUCAGAAAUAAAAGAUACAGAAGUGUUACAUUAGAGAGAGACAAUUCGAGGAACUUUUCGUCGUCUUAUUUCAACGUAGCAUUCGUUCACUCAUCCAGCAAUAAUUGAUGUGGAAUUUGUAUCACAUGGUCGACGGAGUUCAGAAGAAUCCGGUGAUAUUGUAAUUCCAACCAAGCGUUGAGAGAAAGGGAUGGGUGCAGAGGCACUAGAAAGCACGAUCAUGCUAAUUUCAGAAUUAUCCUAAGAUGAUACUUGAACAUCUUGCUGUCUUUUGUUUUGCUUGAGAUCGCACAAAAUCCAACACCACAACCAUCACUUUAAUUCUAUUAGUGUUGAGUUUCCGCUCCUGCACCCAGACUGCAAGAAAGACACAUCUCUAGGAAUGCUCAAAUUGUACCACAUUUUGCGAAUAAAGUCCUCAUUCAGCCAGUCUCGAAUGGUCGGUUACAGUCAAUCAUUCUCACUACAUACAAUCAUUCCGGUUCAAAAGAGCGUGACGUGUGCAAAUGUCAGAAGUGUAAAAUCUGCCCCAAACUUGUCCACAUAUUGGACAAGUUUGCGAACUGAUGUAUGUUACUACUGCGGAUGUAAUGAGAUUUUCCCAUGCGCACACAACUGCAAGGUCGGUUGUGCAACUUCGUGUCAGAAUGCACGAGAGAAAACGUUUCCUGGCAAUUUUCAGGAAGCCAGACUUAGAGCAACUUCCAUGACAAUGUUACUUACCAUCCUCAACUUUCAGUGCAGCCAUCAGUGCGACGUGAGCUGCGUUAUCCAGCACAGGCCCUUCGAAAAAUACUAGUAGACAGGUUGAACGACACAGUGCCUUCAAUUUGUUCACAGUGAUAGAGAAGUAUGAGAUUCAAAAAGAAAUACCUUCUCGGUGAUGGUGCCGGCAGAGUGAGAUAACGGGCUUUCUGCACUUUCCGCUGGAGGUACUGGUCUCGCUGCUGUCUCUCCUUGUUUUGUCUGCUAGAAGAAGGCGAAACGUCUGCCCAAGUAUUUAUCCAAAAUCCCGAAGCAACAAUUUUUCUCGGUAGUCGUAGUCACUGGAAAUCUGAAGUCCUCUAUUUAGAAAAAGAGAAUCAAUUUAUCACUUGCUUUUUCACAGAUUAUAUGUCUUGUGUUCCUGCUAUCAUAAGACAUCAGAGCUCUGUCAAAAGCAUCUCAUUAAAGAGUGCUCUUAAACCAGAUUGGUAGACAAAGUUUCUCAAUAAGAAGGAACUUUGAUUGAUUAAAUCCAGAUACGGCUGUUUCGACUUGAAGUGAUCUCUGUGCUAAUCAAAUCCCUCCCUUUGCUGCAGGUAACUAAGCCACGUAGAGCAUCAAACUCGAGAUGCUUAGAAUACGCACCGAGUUGUGGAGCGUUGUCGAUAUAGUGAUGCUGAGGCAGGUUCAAGUAAUCAAACGGCUUGAAGUUUGGAAAAUUCCGAUUUUCGAUCUGAUAUUCCCCUCCAUUGUCGACAGAACGAACUAAUCUUUUAAUUUUCGACGUAGAGAAGUUUGGCUACAAAGUUUUCAAAGGAAAGUGGACAAAACAAUAGUUGAUUCGGAUUUCUGCUGUCAAUACAACUUCAUUUGAAUGCGACUCAAGACUUGCACUUUAAAAAGGAACCUCUGUAGAGAUUCCAGGAUCUGAAAAGAGAAAACCAGCAGGUUUUACUCUCAGCAGUCAUUAAUCUUUUCAAUCAUAUAAGUCUAUCGCCUCUAUACAUGUAGCACUUCUCAAUCUCUCUUUCACAUAGUAUACUCAUAUAACAUACCUCUCCGAUUACCUUAAACAUUUGGACACUCCUUAAGGAAUACAUAAACCCUCUUAACCCUGAUGAACUGUAAUUGCACAAGCAACGCGAUUGGAUUAAACAAAUGAAUUAGGACUGAACUAGUCAGCAGUGAUGACCUUGCCAAUCUCCUUGAAUCCGUUGAAGAUUCAGUGGGCCCGCAAAAGCACGGAUAGCGUAACCACAGUUGCAGACAACAGGAUAAAUGACAAGCUGGAAAAGUCUAUUCCUUGAAGAAAACAUGUCAUCUCUCCAGCUUCUCACAAGGCAGUGUGAUGCAUCAAAUGUUGUAAAGUAGAUCAGUCUAUAGAUUUGCUGUUAGUGGAUUCCCAAUUCCCUAAACUGGUUAACCGCUGCUCUACCGUAUUGUGAAGGCCCUGAUUGGUGAUCUACGAACUGAUCCACUCAAACUUGCAGGGUUCUUUGAUAGUACAUUAUGUGUACACGUCAUCCCCUGGUUAAAAGUCUACGGAAUUUUAAAAAGGUCAUGAGAUCCAGCAAAUUGAUGAUUGUGUGCACGCACAUAAUAAUGAAGAACUACCGACAGAGCAAUUGACAUGGUUUACUUCACAAUUCAGUGACGAAAUGUUCACUCAUUUACUUGAGACACACAAUUAUUUGCUGGGGACUGAGUGGUGAGUUGAGAGGGAAGUAAAUGUGGUGUGAUUUUUUGAUGCUCAUUUAUUAAUCCCUUCAGAAUCAAAGUAACUUGUUUUUAUUUUUAUUUCUUUGACACCCGUGUUGGAUGGCCGAACAACCAUGAUUUAAGGCUUGAAAUGGUCGAUAUCUCGCUAAAACAAAAUUGUUCUGCAGAGUAAAUACUACGUCUGGCCACGUAACAAAUGCUGCUUCAAAAUUUCUUGAGCUCUUGCAGAUGCAGAUGGCACUGAAGCACUGCUGACAAAAACCAGCAACCUGAAAUCUGAAAGCUGCCAGGAACUUACUCUUGAUUUGCAUUAGGUACAUCUCCUAACUCCGAUAUUGCUCCGAGUAACGCCGUGCCAUAUUCAUGAAGAAAUUGCAAAUCACGACAGAUAUAUAAAUAAGCUUCGCCGGCGGGAAGAUUAUGCAGAUCUGACCAGAAUAGCGAUGAGAUGAUCAGUCUUCAAAAGAGCAUCAUCAUUUACAUAGUGUUCAUAUUUGCAUGCGUAACACGGGUGACUGAGGAUCAAUAGUUAAGCGCUCCAGAGUUCGAGAGACCGUCUCCAUAGAAGCGACUGCCAGUCGCAUCAGCUCCAGCAAUAGAACCCAGUUUGCCAUAUAUACCCUGUGCGAUGCAUACAACACCAAUCUGCCGAGAAUUGCCGAGCUGUAGGGCACUAUUUUAAUUUCCAACACUUAUUAACGUCCAAUACGCUGUUAACGAUGAUUCAAUGAACUGUCAACAACCUUUCUACACGGAAAACAGCAGGGACGGAAGUCUCACAACUUUCUGAUACAACAUCAUCGAUAAUGCAUCUGCUACUAAAAUUCUAAUGUACCAGCUCUUUGCCUGACCACAAACCUCUGCAAGUAAAAUUGUACAAGUCGAUUCUCGUACGACGCAUUACAAGAGUAAUGCUGGGGUUGAUGAGCACAACCAGUCACACCAACACGAAAAGACGGAGUACCAAGAAGGUCUGAAAUUUGUCGACUGGCCAUUACAAGUUUGAGAAAGCACUGGUUUGUGGAGCGGGACGCCGCAAAUGCAAGUGGCUGAACAUCUACGGCCAGUAUAACCUUCCUUUGACUCAUUGAGUUUAUUUCGUGGCAGCCGGCCCACAACAUCGACAGCUGACCUUUCGAUCUAGGUUGCUGUGCACAACAGACGGUCGAUGCUGGUCCUCUGCAAACCAGCAUGAGCCUCGUGGAUUGUGAGGGCAGUAAGCCAUAUCUUAUUAUUUGAGGAAGAGCAAGAUCAUGACUUCCUGAAUUAACUUCAUAGGAUACUCACGUGUUCAGCGUGCAGCCCCAUAUGCUUCGCACGUGUUGCUAGUGGUGGUAGGAGUAGUAGACAAACCUCGUGUUGACCCAAGCUUUUACGCACCCGUGGUCCGUGUGCCCGGACCCUCAAAUAUUGUGCUUGACGGGCUUCUAAGUAGAUUCAAGCAUCGGAGGUGGCUCCGUGAUGGGGUCCGUUGUUUUGGGAGCAGUGCAGCCCUCUGGAUGUGUUCAUAUCCGGGUCGGCGGUAGCAGUGUGAGGAUUGCAGAAGUUAGAUCUGUUGGGUGGUGUACUCAGGAAGUCGGGGAGUGGAAUUGGUAGAGUGAUACGUUAGCUUUUAGGUUUAAAUUAGGGUUUGUUAUGGCCACUUAUUUGGAGAUUCGUGAGGAGAGGACACAGUAAUAGAAAAAUAAGACAUUUUACAGAUAUUAUUAUUAUUAUUAUUAUUAUUAUUUUAUUGUACAUGGAAUUUUUUUUACACAGAAGUAAUAUUUUGGAGAAUGGAAAUUAUAAUUUAGUAUUAAAUACAAUGGAAGAACAAGAUUUUAUAGAGGCAUUGGAAGUGCACAAACAACCUCAACAAUUACAUGUAAUUUACGUCACAUCUUGUGACAAAUUCCUAUUAUGUCUUUCUUGCAGCAACACUAGUUUUAUUGGAUUAGAGUCAAUCUUACAUAUUUGGAGUGGAUAAUAGAGUAGUCUAAUUAAAAAUAGAGGUCUUAAUAAGGCAUGUUGAGAUUGUGUAUUUUAUCAAAAAAAUGCUAGUAAAAGAUUUGUAUGUUGUAUUAGUAGUCAAUCUCAAAAAUAUAGUAUAUGAAAAAAAAUUGAAAUAAAAUAAAUAUAGGAAAAAAAUACUUCUAUUUACAAGCAAACUUAAAAGAAUGUUGGUGAAAAUUUUGACUAUAGUCAAUAUGUAGAACAUCUUUUCAAAUUUGUAUCUUUUGAAUAUAAGAUCUCAACUUCAAUUUGAAAGUUAUACAAAAUCUAAAUUCAAUAGAAGGAUUUGGUGCUAUUAAAUUAUCUACAUGAAUAUUACUUAAUAAUAUUUUUGUUAAGUUCCAAAAUAUUAUAUCUUAGCUAUCAACCAAAUCAAGAGAGAUUUUUUGAGUGGAUGAAAAAACCAAAAAAAUCUCAAAUUAAGAUUUAAGAUUUAAUGUACUAUAUGAUUUUUUUUUAUUUUUUUUUAUUUUUUUUUGCAAUUUAUAAAAUUCAACAAAAUAAAUAUGUAAUAAUUCAACUUUUAUACUAAUUUGUUAUUUCAAAUAAUUUUCAUGUUAUAUAUAUAUAUAUAAAAAUAUGCAUCUUGCAUCCACAACAUCCUGUAAUAUAAUGAAUAUUUACAUAUUAUUAUUUUGCAAAAGAACUUGUCACAUCAAUUAAAUAUUUUUUUUACAAUUAUAACUUAUAAACACCACCCUUCAUUACAAUAUAUAUACCAUGAUUUUAUAUGGUUCAAUAGGUUUUACAUCAUCCUUCAUGAGUAAGAUUGGCAAAUGGCUCAAUGCUUUGAUUCUAUCUCCUAAUUCCAUAAAAAUCUUCUCUAGAAACUCUUCAAUCCAUGUGCAUAGUAAAUCAUGAAUGUUGCUAUUCCAUACUCAUCAAUUUUGAUGAAUGAUUUAUCUUUGAGUCUUAAAAGAAUGUAAAUAGAAUUUUUAAUCUCAUGUUUAUAAAAGUAAAUGACCAGAUAUACAAAUAUAAUGUAUAUAUGUAUAUAUUUGUAAUAUCUAUAAGUCAUACUUGUUACUUAAUUCAUUAUUAUAAAUUUAAUUUAUUUCUAUUAAAUUUUAAUAUAAAUAUACUUUUAAACUAUAUUUUGGUUUGUACUUUAAUUUUUAUAAUAUUCUUGUACAAAAUAAUUUAUGAAAGAUAAUAUAUAUAAUAUUUGAUGUUCCUAUGAAUUUAGGUGUCAAGAAGUAAGUAGAUUUUUUUUCUAACACAAAGACCAUAUUUAGACUUAUUGACUUAUUUGAUAAGUAAUACUUAAAAAUUUAAUAAUUUUUUUAUAAAUAAUUGAUUUAUCAAAGUUUGCCAUUGCAAUUAAGUUUUAUAAUUAUUUAUAAAAAAAUUAAUAAAUUAAUAAAUUUAACCUAUGUCUAAUAUUGAUAACUAUUAAAAACCAUGUAAUUCUAAUUACAUCAAAAAUUUUAAAAUUCUUAAAAAUAAUCUUCAAAUUUAAUUAUUAAAUAAUUAAUUUGAUAAAAUAUAUACUGAAAAUAAAUAAAGCUUCAAACUUAAAGAUAUGAAAUCUAGACUCUUGCAUACUUUAAAUCAUAAAAUCUUUAAGUGUAUUAUAGCAAGAAACAUGGCAUAAUUCUUUAGAAAAUAAGUGAAAUAUUUAACAAAUUAAUUCUUAAGUGAUAAAAUAUUGACUAAGCCAUUUUGUAUUCUCACCACUAAGUUAAAAUCACUUUAGUUUCAAUAUAUAUAAGAUUUUAAUAUACUACAUGUAUUGUUUAUAAUUUUCAUCUUAAAAUAUUAUAUUAAUGAUAAUGAUUCAAAUUUAAAAAUUAAUUAAAAUCUCAAAUCAAAAUUUUCUAAAAAUUCUAUAGUAUAAAAAUAUAUUACAACAUAUAUUGUACUAAUAUAUUUUUAAAUCAUAAAUAAAACAAUAAAAAAAUGCUUGUAUCAAAAGAUACCAAAGACAGAGUUAUAUUCAAGUAUUGACUACUCUACUUAAAGCUUGUCAAAGAUGUCAAUGCAUAAAAGCUAUUACCUUCAAUCUUCAUCUUUUCACAACUUUUAAAUGAUAUCCUUUGUAAAGAUGAAAGAUGCUUUAAUUUUAUUAGCAUAUCUUUUAAAUUUUCAUAUUCUUAAAAUGAUAUUAUCUUCAAAUUUGUCAUAUGAUCAAAUGUAGCAUAAAACUUCUUCAAACUAGUACAAUCAUUAAAAAAUAAUUACAUAAGAGAUACAAGAUUGAUAAAUCUAUUGUCAAAUGUUUCUAAUUUAAUAUAAUUAUUCAAAUCCAACAUUUUCAAAGAUAUAAAUGUAUUAAAGCUAUUACCUUCAAUCUUUAUUUUUUUAUAAUUAUUCAAUGAUAUUGCUUGAAAAGAUGAGAAUUGUUUCAAUCCUAUAAGAGUGUCUUCUAAGUUCUCACAUCCUUCUAACCUUAAUUGUUAAAGACAAGAACUUGAUAAAAAUAAAUAAAUAAGUGAGACUUUUCUCAAAGAAAGAUGAAAAAAUAGAAAUAACUAAAUAUGUAUAUUAAAAAAGAAACUGGGAUGGCUAUUGCCAAAAGAUAAGAAAACUAAAAACCUUUGAAACUAGAUUAGAAGCAAGAAAGAAAUUGACUAGAGUGAAGAAGGCUUCACUCUUGCCUUUAUAUAUACUAUCUACCUAAGAACUAUGUGGCGACGUUUUGUAGGACCUCCAUAAACGUGUUGACUUUGCACAAUAUGUAUCUUAACUUGCAAGGCAAGUUUUUAUGUGGGUGCCACAUAGUUAGCUUGUUCUGCAAGCUACCAAUAUGUGUGGCACGUGGUUAACUUAUUGACCAAGUUUCUAAUCUAUCAAUCAAGUAUAAACACAUGUAAAGUCAAAGUAGCAUCUAUGAAGCUUUUAGGAAGCUUCUCUAAAAGUUAUUAUGAAAUUAAUCUAUUUUUACCUACUUCUACCUAUUCAUAUCAUUUAGAUAACAAUUACAAUAAAUAUAUGUCCAUGACAUUAUCCCCCCUUCUAGGGACGAGUUCCACAAGGAGCAGUGAUCAUAUAUCAAGGAAGUCUAAGAUGCAACAAAUUGUACUUGCUACAUACUCCGAUCUUUGUUCUCUUUGAAGAUGAUUGAUAGGGCCCCUAGACCAUCAAUAGUGUCCCAUACUAAGGCGGUGUCAUGAAUUUAAAAUAUUGACUAGAAAUCUAAACAAAAAGUUCAAGAAGAAUCAACAAGAACUAGAUUAAUCAAAUGAAUACAAGAACAACACUAGAAAGGUGAGCUAGAGCUCCAAGAGGUGUGUUGUUGACACUGAGGAUCUCCUCAAUCUCGGUUUGUAUAUAUAUUACAAGCUAGGAAGCUUUUCAAGUAGCUUCUACAAACUAAGAAGCUUCUCAAGCAGCUUCUAUGAAUUAAGAAGCUUCUCAAGUAGCUUUCACAAGCUAGAAAGCUUCUAAAGCAGCUUCCACAAGCUUGAAAACUUUUCAAGUAGCUUCUACAAACUACAAAGCUUCUCUAGAACCUUGUACAACUUUCUAAUAUAUGUUUUUGACAUCAGCCCUCUUUUUAGCUUUGAGGUCUCUGAGAAGCACUCCUAUUGCGAGUCGAUACCAAUGUAAGAAGUUGAAAAUUUAUCGCAUAGUGUCUGUAAUAUAUUCCAAUUAUUGUUUGCGUGGCAAGUAGUUCAUUGGUCUUUGUAACCAACGACAGUGUCCUAUGCCUUCGAUUUCCGACCAAGCAUGAACUUCCAUGUCUUCAUUGUGAAAAUGCCCUACAAACACUCCUUCGAGAAGAUCGCCAUAGGCAAGUUCUACCUCAAAUACAAUCAUUAGAGACUUAUUACUAGAUAUCCUCCAUUGUCUUUGUGGUAUAUGUGGUUUUUCUAUCUCGGGGUCAUCUUUGUGAGAUACUCGGUUGAGAGGACAUGAUUGGUAUGGUAUCUAUCUCUUGGCUAUCUAUAUCAGACCAAAAAAUAAGCACUAAACAUGGAAGAAUGGGCUUAGGUUACAGAUUUAUAGUCUCUAAUUAUGUCUUUUAGAUGUUCCUUCUUCUUCUUCUUUGUAAGGCCAAAGAUUAAGAGACUUCAAGGAAAAGGGACUUCACUAAAAAACUUUCAUCAAAAGGGCUUUGGUUUCUGAGGAUAGCAUCGAUGAAACUCCUAUACCUUUUGCGACACAUUAAUAAGAUUUUUCGCUGGUUUCUAUGUAUAUUCAUUCAUAUCAUAGCCACUCCAAUGCACUAGGUACUCCUAUUUCCUCCACUUAUGCCACGAAUGUAAUACCUUUUCCACCUCGUAUUCCUUGUGGUUCUCAAUUUCAAUACUAGGUGGUGGACAUUGCACUCUUCCAGGAAAAGACAACUCUUGAUAAAGCUCCAACAAAGAAACAUGAAAGACUGGAUGUACCUUCAUAGUAGCCACUAAUCCUAAACGGUACGCCACUGGAUUGAUUUGCUUUUGGAUGACAAAUGGUCCCAAUCUUCGAUAGUCCAACUUAUCACAUGAUCGCUUGGUUUUGAUAUUCCAUCGAAGUAGCCAUACUUUAUCUCCAAUUUUAAAAGUAGGUACCUGAUUUUGAAAUUUAUUUGUGAAUGCCUUGUAAGCUUCUUAGGCAGUUUGCAAUUAAAGCUUCAAUGUAGUUUAAAGCUCCGAAUAUUGUUUUGCAAAUCUUUUAGCUGCCAAGUUGUUAUUGGUUAAUAGACUCAACAAAUCAAGCUUUGGAUGAUACCUGUAGUUGAAAAAGAAUGGUAUUUGUUGAAUCAAUGCAUGAAGGGUGUUGUUAUAUGUAAACUCGGCUAACAAUAGAUAUGAAGUCUAAUCAUCUUGCUGAUAGUUGAUGCUGCAUCAUAAAUAUUGCUCAAAAGUUUGAUUCACUUGUUCUGUUUGGCCCUCAGUUUAAAGAUGACAAGUAGAAGAAAGCUUGAUAUCUACCUUCAAUAUUUCGAAGAGAGAUCUCCAAAACUUUGAUACAAAUUGGGGUCCUCGAUCCAACACGAUAUCAUCUGAUAAACCAUGAUAUCGAUAUACACUAUCAAGGAAGAGCCUUGCUGUGUCUUUACUUGACGAUGUUUUCUUGCAAGGGACAAAGUGCACCAUCUUUGUAAGUCGAUCUAUCACAACAAAGAUGCUGUCAAAUGAAUUCAAUGGCAGCAGGUCUAUAAUAAAGUCCAUAGAAACUGAAGACCAUAGUCGACAUAGAAUAGGCAAUGGCUAAAGAAGACCAUAACGAUGAAGUCGAGGGUUCUUAGAUCUUGAACAAAUGUCACAAGAGAGGACAAAAUCCUUGACAUCCUUCCACAUUUGGGGCCACCAAAAAUCUCAAGAAAUAAGUUUGAAGGUCUUAUUGAAUCCAAAAUAUUCCACAGCUGGAAAGUUGUGUCGAGAUUGGAGAACUCAAAGUCGUGUUGGUCCCUUUGGAAUAUACAACUCCUCAUCAAAGUAUAAAAGAUUUCUUUCUACCUUGAACUUGUUAUUAUUGACACAUUACAUGAUAUUGAGGGCUACAAAAUCUCCAAUUGUCACAAUACGUAUUUGGUUGAGGAAGUCAGCAUCAAUUGACACUAUAGUAGAGUAAAACCUAAAUUAUUUCGACUUCAAUAAUGUUGUACAUUGAUGUUCAAACGCUGCUUCUUCAGCCUUUGGUACUAGAUACGAUGUCCUUGAUAAUGCAUCAGAUAAUCUUUGUUACUUCCUAAGUUGAUAAGUAAUAACAAAGUCAAACUAGGAUAGGAACAUAUUCCAUUAAGCUUGACAAUAAUUUAGAACCCGAGCGAAGAUGAAGUAGUCCAAAUUCUUGUGAUCCAUUGUUGUAAUAUGUGAAGUCUUGCUUGAGAAUACUCCGGGCACAUGACUGUGGAAGAUAGAAUGAAAAUUAUAACAAAAAAAUCCUAACUAUAAUAGAAUACUAAUUAAACUCUAAUUAGAACAUAAUAAUGCUAAGCAAGCUUCAAAAAAAAACUCAAAGAAAUUUCAAACAAACAAUAAGAAUUCUUAAAGAAAUAUUAAAAUGAUCACAAAUAUCACUCAAAUACAUCUCAAUUCAAUCUUAAUUUAAUUCUAAUUAAAAUCCUAUUGAACUUCAUUCAAACUUUAGGCCAAAGCUAAUUAAAUCUUAAACCCUAAUAAAAUCCUAAACCCUAAACCAAAUCCUAAACAAACCUUAAAUCAAACUCCAACCAAAUCCUAAACCAAAUCCUAAACCUUAAAUCAAAUCCUAACUAAAUCCUAAACCUUGAACCAAAUCUUAAUCAAACCCUAAACCAAAUCCUAAAUCCUAAAUCAAACACUAACUAAACCCUAAUCAAAUCUUAAUCCAAAUCCUAAAUCCUAAAUCAAAUCCUAAACCAAACUCUGAACUCUAAACCAAAUCCUAAUCCAACCCCUAAAUCCUAAACCAAAUCCUAAACCAAAUCCUAAAUCCUAACCCAAAUCCUAACCAAAUCCUAAACCCUAAAUCAAAUCCUAACCAAAUCCUAAACCAAUCCUAAAACCUAAAUCAAAUCCUAAUCAAAUCUUAAAUCAAAUCCUAAACCCUAAAUCAAACCCUAAACCAAACCCUAA